AGUAGCUGUGGACUACGUGUCUAAAUGGGUAGAAGCCCUACCUUGUCGAUCAGCUGAUUCAAAACAUGCCAAGAGAAUGUUUCAUGAAGUAAUCUUUCCUCGCUUUGGUAUACCCCGGAUAGUUAUAAGCGAUGGAGGUUCCCACUUCAUCGACAAAAUCUUCCGGAAAUACCUAGCCGAUCAUGGAGUUCGACACAACGUCGCAACACCAUACCAUCCUCAGACUAGCGGUCAAGCCGAAACAUCUAACAAACAAAUCAAAAAUAUUUUACAAAAGACCGUAGAUGAGAUGGGUAAGGGGUGGAAGGAAAAACUUCCUGAUGCACUUUGGGCAUAUAGAACUGCAUUCAAAACACCCAUAGGCAUGUCACCUUAUCAACUUGUAUAUGGAAAAACUUGUCACUUGCCUGUGGAAGUAGAGUUUAAGGCUCAUUGGGCACUCAAGAAAUGGAACAUGGAUCACCACCUUGCUAGCGAGAAUCGUCUGAUGCAACUAUCUGAGCUAGAAGAAUGGAGAGAGAAAGCCUACCACAAUUCAAGGAUCUAUAAAGAGAGAACAAAACGAUGGCAUGAUAAGAGAAUCAAGCACAAGGAGUUUAAGCCUGGAGAUAAGGUUCUACUAUUCAAUUCAAGAGUUAAGCUCUUUGGGCAUGGUAAGCUACGAAGUAAGUGGGAUGGACCAUACAAGGUUAUUGACACUUCAACACAUGGAGCCAUUACCAUCCAAGACGACAUAGGUAACACUUUUAAGGUAAAUGGUCAACGCUUGAAAAUCUAUCUUGAGCCUCAAAACAACCGGGUAGAGGAACUUGAUGUGAUUGAGUUCAUAGAAUUCUCACAUUAAGCUCUCAUAAGCUCUAGACAAUUACCUAACCCUUAACAUGUUCCACAAGUUUUGUUGUCUAUUUGGGUUGUGCAGGAUUUUGAGGCUUAAGAAGAGUGAGACCGAACAUGCAGGCCAUAAGAGUGAUCGACUAUGUCAACAUCCAGCUUGGGGGAGGCACUCCCACGUGUAUCUAGAUAAGUAUUACUUUUCUUUCUUGGUUUUAUUUACUAGUAUUUGGAAAUAAAUUUAAAAAAAUGCAUAACCAUGAAACCAAACAAAGUUUUUCUUUUGAGUAAUAUACAAUAGUUUUGUGUAAUACUAAGUUUUAAAUAAAAUAAAAAGAAAGUUUGAUUCAAGUCUAGGUAAUUGACAAACAUGAUAUGAGAAGGUCUGAGCUACUAUUUAACUUGUUCCAAGUUUUGCUAGAGUUCUGGAGAUUUUAUCUUUUGAAAAUCUAAAAAUUCAUAAAAAAAAUAUAUGAGAUCAUAAUACCUAGAGUCUUAUAAGAUAUAAAUAUUAAAAUUGUGGGCACUUGCUAUGUUCAAGCCAUUGUUAAUUCUUGUAGUUUUGGUUGAGAGAAUUAUCAUGCUCCCAAGAUCAAGAUCUUUUUGUUUUAAAAUAUAAAAGAUUCACUCUUCCGAAGUAUUAUUGCGUUAGAGGCAUGGGACUAUGCAAAAAUUUGAUUCGAAAAAAAAAGAGUGAGACGAGAGGUAAAAAUGGACAAGUGUCCGAAGUAGAAUUAGGGGUACAAAGAUACCCACCUGAGUGGAAAAAAAUGGACAUGUGUCCGACAGUAGGAUUAGGGGUACUUGCUGCCCACUUGAAAAAAAAGAAGACUGAAAAAAAGAGAAAAAGGAAAAAAAAGGAGAAAAAAAAAUGAUAGCCCAUGGUCCCUCUAAUAAGCAAUAUGCCAGUAAGAGAUGACAAACUUUUCAAAAAGGUCAAAGGUCUUGAUCUAAGAGUAUGACAUUCCUCUCCCUUGCCGAGCAUUGACAUAGCAAAAUGCAAAUUAUGUAUGCUAAAACUUUUAAAGCUCUACUUAUAUAUAUCUUUCGAGAAGAAGGCAAUGCCUCAGUUUCAUUUUGCAGACUUAUAAAAAAACUCCAGAACAAAGGUAAGACAGAAGAACUUGAGACAUAGUGCUUGACUUGAUCAUUCUGUUUUUCAAUCACUUAAGACCUUAGUGAUAACUUAAAAACCAUAUAGUAAGAGGCAUAAAAGUAACCCCUGUUUUCUUGUUGAUUUUAGCUUUGCUCAGGGACGAGCAAAGGUUAAGCUUGGGGGAGCUUGUUGACGGUCCUUAAUGCUCACAUUUAACCAUCAACUAAUCAUGGAAAAGGAUCCAAAUGCAACCAACACCUAGACUUAGGGUUUUAUCUGACAGAAUUCCACGAGUUUUGGUAUUUGUCUAUUUCUGUAGGGCGUUAUCAGGAAUUAUGGAAGAAAGGCCCACACGUCGGGUUUACAUAGAGAUAUUAACGUGCCGCGCAAUUUUCUACCAUCUAGAAGACUCCAGAAGCCACGGGAACGAACGGGAGGCCGAUCGGGCUCGGAGGCAGGGUGCCCGCCCAACUCUCCUGGGCGCCCGCCCAGCUACAGUGUCCAAUUCGGACCCGUUUCGCGUCUUAUGCUCCACCGACCUAAUACUUCAAGGAAAACCACACGAUCAAUGUCGGUUUGAUCCGACGGCCCAGAUUCACUUGAAGGGACUAUAAAACCAGACCCCCCUGGCCCCUGGAGAUCAUACCUCUUCUACAGAAUCAAAGCUAGGGUUUCAAUUCUUCAUCCAAGCAGAGAGGAUCCCUCUAGUUCUUCUAGUUCUACCUCUAGUUCAUCUAGAUCUAGUUCUAGUUCAUCUAGUUCUAGUUCUAGUUCCUCUAGUUCUAGUUCUAGUUAGUUCUAGUUGUAAUCUAGAAAAUAGGGAGAGAGAAGAGGAGAGCGGAGGAGGAGGAGCCGGAUCUGUCGGAUCUUCUUCAACAUUGUACUUUUGCAGCAACUGGUUCGUUCUUCAUCGUUCUCCAGGUUCUUCAAUUCAUAAUCCUGAGUUCUUUAAUUACUUUUCUUAACAUUCAAGUUAUUUAUUGGAUUCCCGCUUGCAUCAAGUGCUCUAAUCUUUGCAACAUUAGGGUAGUAAUUAAUAGAUUAGACGUGGUGUUUAGUCUUGCAAUUACCUGGAAUUGCACCCAAUCCUGCGGAUUGUUGUGGUAGCCCUAGGGUAGUGACAGCCCUAACGGUCGACGUAUUCCACCUCGUUCGGAUCGGUGUUUGUAGGACCGUAGUCAGACCUUCCUAGCCCCCUUCUCAUCUCUUUCUGUGGUUAGUGCUCUGAUGUCCCGAUAUAGAUAAUCUUGAAGUAAUUCUUGAUUCUUAGAUCAACUAGAGAACUCUCAGGAAACUUCCUCUCUUCCCACCAAAAAUAGUUAUAUAGUUAUCCUGGGGUGAUCUUGGAUCUUAAUUAGUACACUCACGUUCCCUGUGGAAAAUCGAUACUCUGGAAUACUCCCGGGUGAAGGCUACAUCGGUAUCCGUGCGCUUGCGGAUUUUUUCUGUUUGCGUUUAAAAUACCCAACACAUACUUAGCAAUCAUUGUGAGACAAGACUACGCCCAUGCAUAGUGAUAUUAGCAAGGUAAAUGAGAAACAUAGCAAUCACUCCCCUAUAAUAAUAUUGCUCUGCCAGCCCAAUACACGAGAGGGGGACUAUAUAAGAAUCAAUGAAGCUGUCACUAUCACGAACUACCCCACGAUCUGGCAUAUUGGCUACAAUCGCAGAUAAAUACGGUAUAAGCACCACGCCUACACAAUAUCUAUCAUUUACCCAUAGAUCCGAUGGAUAAACGCUAUACGAUCCUAAGCAUGUAUAUAGAUCCAAUCUAACUAAGCCAAGUACAUAACUAUGAUAAACUAAGAACAAUAUAAUCUUGAAUAUAUGCAAGUAGAGCAAAGUCAUAAGCAAUAUAUUGAAGUAGAACAAAGUCAUAUUCAUAAUAUUGAAGAACAAAGAUAAUUAGAAAGUAAUUAGAAGCACAAUUAGAGAAUUACCAAGAAUCCUCCUGACAGAUCCGGAAACCAAUCGAAGAUUGACUCCUUCUAGUUCUAAUCCUAUGUAGCUAUGCUAAUCUAGAUAUCUAAUUGAUGUGGUGGCUCUAAUCUUGAUCAGAGGCUUCUUCUCCCUUGAGUAACAAUGAAUUAGGGUUGAGAGGCUCUCUCCUCCAGGGGCCAGGGGGUCUCGUUUUAUAGUCCCUUCAAGUGAAUAUGGGCCGUUGGAUCAAACCGACAUAGAUUGUAUGGUUUAGAUUCAUCCUUUAGGUCGGUGGAGAUCUCCCACGAAGCAGAGUCCUGAUUGGACUCAGGGAGAGGGCGGGCGCCCAGGGGAACAGGGCGGGCGCCCUGCCUCUGGCCCCGUUUCGCCUCCGCUUCGGUCUCGUGGCUUCUGGAGUCUUUUAGAUGUAAGAUAAUUGCGCGGCACGUUAAUAUCUCUAUGUAAUCCCGACGUGUGGGCCUUUCUUCCGUAUUUCCUGAUAACCCCCUGCAGAAAUAGACAAACACCAAAACUCGUGGAAUUCUGUCACAUAAAACCCUAAGUCUAGAUGUUGAUUUCAUUUGGAUCCUUUUCUUUGUUUAUUUAAUAAUUAAAUUUGAUACUUAAGGACCGUCAACAAACUCCCCCAAGCUUACCUCUUGCUCGUCCCUGAGCAAGGACAGACUCAGCUAUGGAUCAUAAGUUGUUGCAAUAUUUUAAAAAAUUGACGGUACACAUGCUUUUUAAAUAAUAUCUCAUCUCUGAGUUAGAGUAAACUGUCAAGACUUAAAACUUACUUACUUUACCUUUCACCAUGGGACUUGUAACUGUUACUUCUGUCUUGAGUGGUUAAAAGAUAGAACAGUCUAGCCAAGUGCCGUGUCUCUUAUUCUUGAUUAGCUAUAGUUCUGGGGUUUUUGCAGAUUUUCAAAUAAAACUCAGAGAUUCCUUGUAUGACUCUCUCAAAUCUCUCCUUUGUGGUAUUUCUGGAUCCUUACCAAGGCAGUGAUGGUAUAUGCCUUCUCUCAAAAAUAUGUAGUAUUUGUGGUAUAAGGCAUAGUGGCAUUGCCUUCUCUCUCACCCUACUCUAAUAAGGCUUUAAUAUCUAGAGCUCAUAGGUGGGAGAUAAAAUAUACAUACUUACAAGACAUUUAUUGCAUAGUCAAACCAUGGAUCCAAAGAAACAAAUCAAUAAGUCGAAUCAAGAUGUGCAUGUGUGGCGAAUGAAUGGUGUAUGGUGAUGAUGGUGAUAACAAUGGUAAAAGUCUAAUUCUACUUUUGCUCUUUGAGGGGAUACAUAUCUUCCUUGCUUUUUAAAAUUUUAUGGGGAGAAUGAGAUGCUCUUCUUUUUCUUUUCUCUCAGGUGGGUAUCUUGUACCCCUAAUUCUACUGUCAGACACUUGUCCAUUUUUACCUUUCGUCUCACUUUUUUUUCUUUUCUUUCGAGGUUCCGAGCACUUGCUCCUUUUUAUUUCCUCGUAUAUUUCUCUUUCUUUCUUUUUUUAUAGCACUCAUCUCUUGAGAUAAUAUAGCAAGUGGUAGUAACAAGAUAACUUGAGCAUUUAUUUCACAAGGGAAAAACAAUAAUAUUUUUGGUUAUUCUCUCCCGGAUUAGGAGUAGAAUAUUUUUAGGUGAUUCUGGAGAUGGAAAUGGAUGGAUAUAUGUGGAUGGUACUUCCGGAGUAGAAGUAGCAUAUAUGAGUGAACGUGCAAGUGAAUCUUGAUUUAACCACAUGACAAGCUCCUAAUGGUCUACACAGCUUGACCACACUCAAUGCUCAUAAGCAGUAAAUAGUAAAUGUGUGGCUCAAAGUCUAGCAAGCAUGUAUAUAUGGCUGUGGUAGGAAUUUAAACUCUCAUCAUACAGGAACUCAUCAUGCAACAUUUUAAAGAUUUUCAAAGAUAAAAUUCUCCAGAAUUCUAGCAUCUCUAGGAACAGAUAAACAGCAGCUCAACCUUCCCAUAUCGUAUCCGUUAACACAUGCAAGUUUUCAUCCCACAAGUUUAGGUCUAGAGCAAGCUUUAAAUUAUAACAGUUAUAUCUAAACUUGAGAGAGAACUUAAAAUGUGCAAAUUAGGCAGAGCAACUAUUCAUCAUAUCCAUGCUUGAGUUUUAUUAUUAAGAUACAGAUUAGCAUAGCCACUUUAUUCAUUUAUUAAACACACUAAGCAAAAGAUAUAUAUAUAAGCACAAAAUCUUUAUUUGGUUUUUCCAUAGUUAUGUAUAUUUAUAUUCUAAUAUAAUAUAAGUAUAAAGAUAGAUAGAAAUACUUAUCGAGAUAAAUGGGGGUGCUUUCCUCCAAGCUAAAUUUUGACGUAAUUUCUCUUGAUGUAGCUAGCAGGUAGCAGAGGUGUAUUUGAAAGUUAGCAGCAUUCUGACAGUGAUUAGAAUGUCCUCCGUCUGCCAGUCUUCCUGAUUCUUAGAUUCUGUGGAGCUCAAAUAGACAACAAAGCUUGUGGAACUGAUUAAGUGUUAGCAUAAAUAUCUAGCCUUUAUCAUGUUGAGACUCCUUAAUAAUUAUUACUCCCUGUUUUUCUAUUUUUAUUUUUAUAAAGCAGAAAAAUAUUUAUUUUAUUUUUAUGCCACCACAGCGAAUGUAUUUAUGGGUUUUAUGCCACUCGUAUACUUACAUGGGGCUUACUGUUUUUUCACAUUUUUAUUUUCUUUUUAGGAUAGCAUGAACAUGAUUAACUAAGUAAACUAUUUUAAAUAAUUGAAAGGGAAAGGAUAACUACCAAGUUUACCUCUUAGAAAGGCGUUCGGUGUUUUUAAGCCCUCCGAACAGGACUCUCCGUUUUCUUAAUUGUCCUAGGAUUCGUUGGGUGGCGUAGUCGGUACUUCCGGCGGCGCCACCUCUUCAUGUAUAGUUAUCUUCAUUUUCCAUACCUGACUCGGUGCUAUGGUCUCCUCUGGAUAAUUCUGUUUAAACUUUACGUCUUCUGACCUUAUAACUUCUCCUUCAUAGUCUGCCCAUCCGUCCCUGAUGAUCUGCCUCCUCUGGUUGCGGUUGCGUCUCUUUCUGACCUGCUUAGAUUCUUCAACGAUAUAGUUAGGGUCAGUAAAAUAACGGCGUACCUUCUUUGAGGGGAAGUGCAUAUGGACUUCUCCGGUUCCAAUGUAGAUAAUUGCUUUGACGGAACUGAGGAACGGUCUUCCAAGGAUGAUGGGUGGAUCGUAUUCGUCUUCUCCCAUGUCAAUAACUUGAAAGUCUGUGUAGACAAAAUGAUCGUCUAUUUUGACUGGGACAUCAGUUACUGUUCCUUUAACUUCUCGAAAUGUCUGAUCUGCCAUCUGGAGCUGAAUGUAUGUUGGUCUUAGGGGCAUGGUCCCGAACAAGAGCCGAUAGGUGACUGCGGCCAUUAUGUUGACGCCCGAUCCAGUGUCACAAGACGUCUUGUAGAAGUUGUAUCUAUUUAUGGAGCAGUUAAUGCUUGGCAUUCCUGGGUCGUCCUUCUUGGUCAAAAACGAUUACUUAAGUUGGUGAUCUUGGCCUCCAUGAACUGCAGUGACCAUCUUAGCGGACUCGGUCCACACUUGCUUGUUCCUGUUCCUGUCGACGAAAGCUGGUCGGCAGUCUACCUUGGGGUAUACCCACGGUAGUAGUUUAUCGGUAGACGGUGCGCAAACUACGAACUCGAUGGUGACGCAAGACACGGACAAGCUUUUUAUCCAGGUUCGGCCGCCGAGUUGGCGUAAUACCUACGUCCUGCGUCUGGUUGUAUUGAUUUGUGUUGAGAGAAUAUGAUGUUCUAGGGGGGUCCCUUGCCUCUCCUUAUAUAGUCUGAAGGGCAGGGUUACAGAUCUGGAAACUAAUCCUAGUCGGUUACAAUUGUCAUAGAUAGUUCGAUAUCAAUUCCUAUUCUAACCGACUAGAAUUCUGCUUGAUCUCCACAUCUUGCUUCCUUGCGCGAAACUCCAGGCUAUCGAAUCAAGCCUUGAACUCGUCUCGUAAUGGGCCAAGCUUCCUGGCCGAAGUCUAGUCGUAAGGGUAUAGGGGUUUAUACCCCCACAGCUAGUCCCCGAGCACCAUGUAUUGUGAUGUAACACGCCGUCUUGAGCUUCUUCGAUCAGUGAGACUUGACGUCUUCAAUAAGUGGGAAAGUCGCCCAAACAGUUGCAACGGUUCUUUGACCAACUCAAAAGACAGUUGAUCAACAUUGACAUCGAAGAAGCGAGUUGUUCGAAGAAUGCAUGGUGCUCUAAAUUAAAAAAGAUUUCUUUCCCGGUGAAGUGUGCCCACUUUACUUUUUUGAAAGGUAUAAACAUCAAAAAAGCAAGCAUAUUCACCGCAAGGUGAAGUGUGCCCACUUAGUCCCUGAGCCUGGUAGUAGGUGACGUAGGCACGUGGUGCCAGGGUCAAAAUAAAAGUCCUCAAAGAAAUUCUGUAACUGAGAUGCAUCGCCAGAUGCAUCGUACCGAUGUAGUCCCUGAGCUUGCUGGAAGGCGAAGUAUGAGCCUUGUAGCAAGGUCUAAAAAAUUGAAUUUACCAGUCCGUCUGCAAUUGAAUAGGCUAAUCGACCAGUCCCCAAGCACCAAGUGCGCUCCUUAGAAUUCUGCGUUGCUAUACUGUACGACCAGUCCCCGAGCAUCGAGUGCUCGGUGGUCGGUGCAGUCUUUGAAGUUCCGAGCUGAUAGACUGGGCGACCAGUCCCCGAGCGUCGAGUGCUCGGUGGUCGUUGCAGUCCUUGAAGUUCCGAGCUGAUAGACUGGGCGACCAGUCCCCGAGCGUCGAGUGCUCGGUGGUCGGUGCAGUCCUUGAAGUUCCGAGCUGAUAGACUCGGCGACCAGUCCCCGAGCGUCGAGUGCUCGGGGGUCGGUGCAGUCCCCAGAUUGUUGACUCUCUGGCAUAUUUGUCUUCUUUUUAUUGAAACGAUCUUUUCAGUUAAAGUUGACAUGACGAGACCUCCUGAUGGGUUGUCAGAUGGACGCAUGAAAAAUUGCGCCUUGCAACUGUGCAGCCGCCCUUUGCGUGGUUUGAGAAAAAGGAAACCAUCAAUUGGUACGAAAACUCCGCCGCAUUAAUUGUCUAUAAUCAUUGUAAACUGAAACGCCGCAUCCGCCGCAUGGCCCGCCCACUUCCCGAGAAUACAGGAAAUGGGAGGGGUGGAGUUGCGGGUUAUAAGAGCCUGACAGUUCCGCCUGUACUCCUUACCCUGCCAUUGCCCUCAAGCCUUCCUUCUCGCCUCUUUCCAUCACCUGCAUCUUCGUAACCCAAAUCCACUUCUCACCUCCAAUGGCGAAGAGCGACUCCAAGAAGAGGGCCGAACUGAUGGCCAAGGAGUGGAAGAAGUCCCGCAGCACCACCAAAUCCCUCGGUGACCUCGUCGACAUGGGACUCCUGCACAGCUCGGAGCUUGGCGGCUGGAGAGCGCCGGAAGGAGAAAGCUUCCCCGACCCUCGUGCCGGUGAGAUCGUCGUGUUCGAAGAUUUCGUUAAGAGGGGAUUUGGGGUUCCGGUUCAUCCUUUUCUCCAAGGUCUUCUUUCGUAUUAUGAGAUCGGGAUUUGCAAUCUGCACCCGAACUCAAUUCUCCUUAUCUCUACGUUUAUCCAUCUGUGCGAGGCCUAUGUUGGCAUAGAGCCGCACUUCGAUCUUUUUCGUUACCUUUUCUGCUUGAGGAAGAAGGGAGCAGUUGUAGGCUCCAAGGUUGCAGGUGGAGUAUACCUCAACCUUCGUGAUGGAAUGAAGAAUCACUACCUGCACUGUCCAUGGAACACUUCCUUGACCGAAUGGUAUAGGAAGUGGUUCUACGUCAGGGAGGAACCGGGCAGCUCCACGUUCUGCGACGUGGGGUACAUUCCCGAGAAGAGGGUGAGCUGGACCGACCGCCCGGAGUUCAACGGUCAAGUGGCGGAUCUGAUGAAGCUGAUCGACUGGUCGCGCCUGGAUGGGCUUGGCGUGGUCGGCAACUUUAUUUGUCGUCGGGUGAUGCCCUGCCAGAAGAGGGUGCACUCGGCGUACGAGUAGGCCGGAAGCGUGGACCCGACCAGGAUGCGACCGGAGAUCUUGGAGAAGGCGGAGGUACAACGGCUGUUGAACGAGCUGUUCAACUUCGCGGACGGAGGCUUCAUCCGUGGCAGUGAUCGGGUGCAAGCCUUCAAGUUAGGCCGACCAGCACCAAAGGUAUGUUGCAGAUUAUUUUGUUUUAGUAUUCGUAUAUCGUAUGUGGCUGGCUCAUCUUUGUUGCUUUUUGCAGAUCGGCGAUGUCGACCGGUGCACAGUGUAUGUAUCACUGGCACCGGGGAUGGAGAAUCCUGCGGGAGAAGACCCGCUAGAGGAGGACGCUGCUCGGUGUGCUCAUUACACCAGCAGUGAGGAGGAACAAGCCCGCCCCGUCCCAACCACCGAGGAGAGGGUGUCGGGGAAAAGGCCAAUGCCUAUGGAUCCGUCGCCGAUGCCGACACUGCCGGCGGAGAGCAGCCGAGCGCCGAAGCGGCGUCGGUUCAUCCGGAUUGACGACGACGAGGAGGAGGAGGAGGAGGCCGUUCCGUCGUUGGUCCAGAGGCCUCCUAGCCGUCCGGACGGCGGGGCGACCACUGCCGACCGUGUGGCCGUCGAUCCACCUGCGCCUCUUGCUGGGGAGUCGGGAGCACAGGUGCCGACUGGUCGGACGAGAAGGAGGUUUACCGCGACCCACCGCCGCUCGAACCUGUAAGUGCUCAACUUGCGUAUUUCACCGAUGUUUUUUUUUAUUGUAGUUUUGUUCCUUUAGCGCGGCGUCGGAUGUCGACCCUGGCCAUGCCGCUGGCCAGGGGACGAGUGAGCCGGUUUGCACUGCUGAAGACGCGGCCCCGCAGACCGCAGAGCAGCCUACGGCUGCAGCCGUGCCUGAGAGCGCCGAGGAGUCCCCGACCGCGGCACCGGCUACGUCGAGCUGCCCGACCAGGGUUGAGGAGGCUAUGGGGACGCCUCCCCCAGCCAGCACCACGGAAAGGGAGGGAAGGGCCCCGACCCCUCCUCCCGCCGGGGAGGGUGAAGUCUCCACACCGCCCCGAGCAGGGGCCGCUUCGACUACAGGCUCCCCAGGUCUGGUCCGGGGACCAGUAAUGCCUGGGACCGCUACCGGGAGCAACGCAGCGCGGGAGGAGGAAGCUCAGGCGGCCUCCGAGGACGAGGUGGAGGAGAUUGAGGGUCGUCCCCGUGAUGGCCGCCAACACGUGUAUGUGUGGCGCCAACGCGGGGAUCACUUUAUCGGGCAUGAAGAGCUCGCCGAGACCGAGGAGGCCGCCAGGGUGGAGCGCGCAGCCAAGCGCCUCGUCGACGAAGUCAAGGUAAGCGACUUUUUGUACUGCUGUACAUUCUAUGCGUUGUCUUGCAUGGUCGUUAUAUGUUCGCUUUGUAGGGCGCAAUGAAAACGGCAAAGUACCAGAAACGGUGCUUUGACCAGAUAGAAGGCGUCGUGGCCGAGAACAAGGCCCUGGCCGCGGAGGUAGACCGGCUGCGGUCGGAAGUCGGGGAGAAGGUGGCCGAGAUGAGCGCCCAAGAGGAGCGUCGUCUCGACCUCACUCGUCGCUUGGCCGACCAGUACCGGCAGCGAGAAGGUUAGUCACACGCUCCGAGCAGCUUUGCGUACUUGUGUAGUUUGCUUUACUGACCAGUUUAUGAUUCACGCAGACUUGGAGGAGGAGGUAGCGCGCCUCCGACAAGAGAAGGAACAGCUCAGCCAACAGCUCACCGGUGCGCUGGAGUCCGGGCGGCGAGCAGGAGAGGAAUUGGGUCGAAAGGACCGAGAAUUAUCUGGUAAUGGGUGCCGCCUUGUUAGCUGCUGCUUGUCGCCCCUUUGUUUGUUUGGUAUGCCGAAAAUAACGCUUUGUUUCAUUUGCAGUGCUCAAGGUGAACGCCAAGAAGCACCUGGAUGAUCUGAUCAAGGACCGGGACUCCUGGAAGGUCAACUGUUGCAGGAUCUGGAAAGGAGUGUCCCCGGUCCUAGACCUGAUCAGUCCCGAGCUCCCGGAGAGCCAGCCCCGCGCGCCACAGUUGACCCCGGUCGAGAAAGCGCAACGGGCGUGGGACUGGCUCCAGCAGUUCGUGAAGGACGCCGGGGAGUUUGCCGGCGCGCACGUCCUCAGCAUGGUGCGCGCCCACUAUCCCCUGGUCGACUUGAGCAGGCUGGAGAAGGGGUACCCGAAGGAGGUCGGCCCACAGGAAGCGGACGAGCUUCGGGGUAGUCUGCUGGACUUGUCGUCGACAGUGAUCGGCGACAUCAAUCUGUGCGGAACGGCCACUCCCCCAGACCAGCCGAGUUCAGAUAGGUCGGCCAGGGAGUUGUCGGGCGCGUCCGUUGCGGGAGAUGGGCGGUCGAUGCCUGCGGUCUCGACCAGCCAGGCGCCGGUGGCCCCGACCCCUUCGUCCGGGCAGCAGGGCCAGGCGGGUGAUCAGCCCGAGCAGCUAGGCCAAUGGAGUAGUCUGUAGGAAUAGACUAGUGUCUGCCCGUCAGGGUAUUUAUUGUAAACUUUGUAUGUAAAGUUUGUAAUAAAGUUUGCUUUUUUUGUCAUGACUGUUGUUUUUGAGCGCUGUAAGAUUAUCUGAGUGACGUGUCACCGUAUUCGUCUUGGUAGUCGUUAAGAGCAUCCAUUGCAAGAGUUUUGCCGAGUGCUGUGUGCGACAAGGUAUAGGCAAAAAAUAGAGAAUUUCAUUAUCAACAAUUAUAAGAUACUUACAAAGGAAAGUUAUUAAAACUUUAUGGAUAGAAACGUCGCAGUUUGUCUAUGUGCCAAGAGUUAGGCACUCAUGUUCCGUCUGGGUAUGCCAAUCUGUAGGACGUAGGUCGUGUGACCUCGGUCACCACGAAGGGUCCUUCCCAGGGAGUGGAUAGCUUGUGCAUUCCCUCCUGGCUUGUUUUCCAUCGAAGUACCAGAUCGCCGACCACGAAGGAACGGUCCUUGACGUUCCUGUUGUAGUAUCGCCUGACUGCCGCGAGAUAUUUUGCUGUUCGGAGACAAGAAUCUAAACGCUUUUCCUCCAUGCAAUUGAUUUCGAGUUCUCUGGCGUUGUCGGCGGUCGCCUGGUCGAAGUGUUCGAUUCUAGGAGAUCCAAAGUGUAUGUCAGACGGCAGGACCGCCUCUGCACCAUACACCAUGAAGUAGGGAGACACCCCUGUGUUUCGACUAGUCUGAGUUCGGAGGCCCCAGACCACUGCCGGCAAUUCUUUCAUCCAUCGACCGGGUGCUCUGUCGUUUUCGGUGUACAACCUUUUCUUUAGGGCGUCAACGAUCAUUCCGUUAGCACGUUCAACUUGACCGUUGGCACGUGGAUGUGCCACUGACACGUAUUUUAUGACUAUGCCUCUGUCAUCGCAGAAGUCCCAAAAAGUGGUGCCAGUAAACUGAGUGCCCAGGUCGGUGAUUAUGCUGUUCGGGAUGCCGAAUCUGUGUAUGAUUUGAUUGAGGAACUCCACAGCCUUCUCGGAGGUUGCCUUGACCAGAGGCAUGUAUUCAAUCCACUUGGAGAACUUGUCGAUUAACACGAAAACAAACUUGAAAUUGCCCGGGGCUGGUUUAAAUGGCCCGAUCAUGUCAAGCCCCCAGCAAGCAAAGGGCCAAGAAGACGGGAUGGUUUGAAUUUUGUGGGCAGGUACGUGGGUCCUCUUAGCGAAAAACUGACAUCCUUCGCAGUGUCGAACCAGUUUUUCUGCGUCGCCGACCGCGGUUGGCCAAUAAAAACCUGCUCGGAAAGCCUUUCCGACCAGCGUUCUUGAUGCGGUGUGAUUGCCGCAGGAUCCAGCAUGUAUGUCCUCUAAGAGCUUGAUACCAUCAUCUUGGGGUAUGCACUUGAGCAGUACUUCGGAGCUUGCGUUUUUCCGCAUGAGUUUGCCGUCGACCAGGAUGUAGUUCUUUGAUCGCCGAAUGAGGCGCUCGUUCUCUGUUUUGUCCUGAAGGCCUGUCCCGUCCGAUAUGUAUUUGAUAAACGGGGUACGCCAGUCACGCCCACCGGUUGUCGGAGUGGCGUCGUCUAUGAGCAUUGCCUCGGUGGGUUGCUUGUCGACCAGGGAGGAGCCUACGCUCGGCUCGUGGAUGUCCUGGACGAAAAUACCCCGCGGGAUCUGGGCCCGAGAUGAGCCUAACUUCGACAACGCAUCUGCUGCUUGGUUCUUAUCCCGGACCACGUGGAUGUACUCUAUGCCGUAGAAGUUGGUUUCCCAUUUGCGAAUUUCUUUGCAGUAGAGAUCCAUCUUCUCGUGGGCUGUGUCCCACUCCUUGUUGAGCUGGUUGAUGACCAAAGCGGAGUCGCCAUAGACACAGAGGCGCUUGACUCCCAGCUCAACGGCUAGUCUUAUGCCAUGCAAGCAUGCUUCGUAUUCGGCGACGUUGUUUGACGCCGGAAAAAGGAUCCGAAGGACGUAACGCAGUUUGUCCUUGUUGGGUGAUACGAACAGUAUCCCAGCGCCGGCACCGUUGAUGUUCAAGGACCCGUCAAAGAACAUUGACCAGUGGUCUGAGACAUCGGGAACGGAAGGCUCGUUGAGAUCCGUCCAUUCAGCAAUGAAAUCGACCAGGGCCUGAGACUUGACAGUGGUGCGACUCUGGAACUCCAGGGAAAAUGGACAUAAUUCCAUUGCCCAUUUCACGAUUCUGCCAUUGGCGUCUUUAUUGCGCAGGAUGUCCCCGAGAGGGAAACUGGCUGUCACCAGGACUCGAUGGCCGUCGAAGUAGUGCUUCAGCUUUCUUGACGUUAUCAGAAUGGCGUAUAUGAGCUUCUGUAUUUGUGGAUACCUGGCCUUGGACUCGUUUAAGACUUCACUUAUGAAGUAAACGGGUCUCUGGACCUUGUAGGCGUGACCUGGUUCAUCUCGCUCGACCACUAUUGCCGUGGAAACAACCCUGUCAGUUGCAGCAAUGUAAAGAAAUAGGUCUUCAUUGGGCUGAGGCGCUGUGAGGACAGGUGGUGAAGUGAGGAAGGUCUUAAGCUGAGUGAACGCAGCGUCGGCUUCCUCUGUCCAAGAAAAUUUUUCUGACGCUUUCAAUAGUUUGAAGAAAGGGAGGCCUAUUUCUCCCAGCCUUGAGAUGAAACGACUGAGGGCGGCCAUACAUCCGGUUAGCUUCUGAAUAUCCUUGACGUUCUUCGGUGGUCGCAUGUCGAGUACGGCUUUGACUUUUGAAGGGUUUGGUCGUAUGCCGUCGCGACUGACGACGUUGCCGAGCAGUAGACCGGAAGGAACGCCGAAAAUGCACUUCUUGGGGUUGAGCUUCCACUUGUACCUAUUGAGCGCCUUGAAAGUUCGGUCUAAGUUGUCGAUUAGGGUGCUCGCGUCCCUUGUUUUUACGACCACGUCGUCUACAUAGGCCUCGACGAGGUCAUCGCGAAUCUCGUCGUGGAGGCAUUGCUGGAUGGCCCAUUGAUAAGUGGCUCCGGCGUUUUUGAGUCCGAAAGACAUGGUCGUGUAGCAGUAUGCGCCGUAAGGUGUAAUAAAAGACGUUUUGAUCUGAUCUUCUUCCUUUAACGAAAUCUGGUGAUAACCAGAGUAGCAGUCUAGAAAGGAGAGGAGUUCGCAUCCGGCCGUUGAGUCGACCACCUCGUCGAUGCGAGGUAGACCAAAAGGAUCUUUAGGACAGUGUUUAUUGAGAUCAGUGUAAUCAACGCACAUUCUCCAUUCAUUAUUCUUUUUGCGUACAAGAACCGGAUUGGCGAGCCAAUCGGGGUGAUACACUUCUUUUAUGAAUUCGGCUGCUAGAAGCCGUGUGAUUUAUGUCCUAAUAGCCUCCUUUUUGUCGCGAGCGAACCGUCGCAGCUUUUGCUUGAUUGGUCUUGCGGUCUUCGAGACAUUUAAGGAGUGCUCGAUCAGGUUUCGUGGGACGCCGGGCAUGUCUGCGGGUUUCCAUGCGAAAACGCUUACGUUGUCCCUUAGAAACCUGAUGAGCGCGUCUUCCUAUUUUGGAUCCAGGUUGGCCCCGAUGAGGGCCGUCUUCUCGGGGCUUCCGUCGACCAGCUGAACUUCCUUGUGCUCCUUGGAUUUUGAGUUCUUUCUGGCUGUCUCCUGCUCAGGUAAUCGGAGCUGGUCGGGAAGCAGCUGCGCGGCUUGAGUUGCUGUUUCUGCCAUGCGGAUUGAGAGGUCGAUUGCUUCGGUGAUCUUGAAGCUCUCCUCUUCGCAGGUAUACGCAGUGUAAACAUUGCCUCUGACGGUUAGGACACCCUUCUCCGUAGGCAUCUUAAGGACCAGGUAUGAGUAGUGCGGGACUGCCAAGAACUUUGUCAGCGAUGGUCGGCCUAGUAUAGCGUGAUAGGUCCCGUCGAAAUCGGCGACCACGAAGUUGAUGAACUCCGUCCGGAAGUGGUCGGGUGUGCCGAAUUGGACAGGCAAUGUUAUCUGUCCAAGAGGCACUGAACUUUGACCCGGCAACACCCCCCAGAAUUGGGCGUCGUAAGGUUUUAGUUGUGCAGGAGAUAUCUUGAGGGCGGGCAGGCUGUUGCGAAAGAGGAUGUCAAUGGAGCUUCCCCCGUCCACGAGCACGCGCUCGAAUCUGAUGCUGUUGAUGCAAGGGUCCAGAAUCAGGGGGAAACGACCCGGCUCUGGGAUAGCGGCCCACUGGUCCUUCCUGCUGAACGAGAUCUCCCUGUGGGACCAUGGGGGGAAUUUUGGGUCCGCGAUCAGCCCGUCCGUGCUGUCUAUGUUGAGGCAGGCUCUCUUUAACAGCUUUCUUUCUCGCUUAGAUUCAAUGGAGACCUUGCCCCCGAAAAUGGAGUGGACCACGUUGGUGGGGCUGACGUACUGUUGUCGGGGGUCCCUAUCUUGGUCCUCGUCCUCAUCUUCGUGGUCGUGCCCGUCUCGCUUGUUGUUUUUCUUGGCGGAGUCGUCUUGGGCGGCCCGCCGUGUGUAGAUGCUUUUGAGGACGCGGCACUCUUCCAUGGUGUGAUUAGACUUUGGGUGCAGUUGGCAUGGUCCCUUCAACGUUUUGUUGUAGUCUUCUUGGUAGUCGCGUCGUCCGUUGGGACGCUUGACCGUGUUUACUUCGUGAUCGUAGUCGCGAGGGCGCUUUCCUCUGAAAUCGUCGCGGUUGUCGCGCCGCCGAUCCCAACCCUCUCGGUGAUCGCGGUUGUCGGAGCGGCGGUGGCUUCUGCUGUCGUAGCGACCACGACCAUCAUCUCACCGGGGAGGCUGGUCGGGACCUCUCGCAUCGUCUCGGAUUAGUUUUUCUGCGUCGUCGGCAUCGGCGUAAUUUUUGGCCGUGGCGAGGAGCUCUGCUACCGUUGUUGGACGUUUACGCAGCAGCUUGUUCCUCAGCGCUUCGUGGAAACGCAGGCCCGUGAUGAAGGCUGAGAUGGCCUCGUCGUGGGAAAUCUUCGGGAUUUUGAGGUGCAUAUCUGAGAAUCGUCGGAUGUAAUCGCGCAGGGGUUCGUUCUUCCUGUCCCUUAUCCUUUCGAGGUCAUACUUGUUUCCGGGCUGCUCGCAUGUGGCGAUGAAGUUGUCGAUGAAAGCCUGGCGUAGCUCUUCCCAAGAGUCGAAGGAGUCCUCGGGCAAGCCAAGAAGCCACUGAUGACCAGCCUGGUCGAGGACUACGGGGAAGUAGUUAGCCAUGACGUGCUCAUCCCCUGCCGUUGAUCGGACGGCGAUUUCAUAGAGGGUGAUCCAGUUCUCUGGAUUUUCCUUGCCGUCGUAUUUUUUAAGUUUUUCGAGCUUGAAAUUGCGGGGCCACACGACCUGGCGGAGGUGUGAGGAGAACUGUCUUAGGCCCGGAGGACCGUGCGUUGCAUCGUACUCGAUGCGGCGCAGGUUUUCGUGGACUGCUCUCUCUGCGGCGCGCCUGUUGAUGCGGUCCCGGGCAUCUUUGGGAGGGAUGUUGUGGCGGAGAUCCCUGUGCUGGUUUACUUCUUGGCCGCGUACGCGGUUCUGCUUGCGGCGACCGUCGGCGUCCCGACCACCAUCGUCGCGCCGUGAGUCCCCUCGACGGUUGUCGGGUGAGCGGCUGCGGUGACGCCUGCUGGGGGACGGUGAGGCCCGGCUACGAUUAGUCUGGUCAGAGGCGGCUUCCGUAUAAGAGACGUCCUGGACUCUCUUGAGCAGAGUGGCUGUCUGUCCCAUUGCAGCGAUCAGGUGUGCUCGGAUGCUGGUCCGGACUCCCUGGCAUUCGGUGGUAUCAGGAAGCCGAUCUAGGUUAGCCAUGGCGACUGCCACGUUGGCGCUUGGCAUUUUGUAGACUGGCUGGUCCCCGACCAUGUCAAAGGCAUCGUUGAGAUUAUUUGGUGGCAUUUGUUGUUGCUCGUCUGCGCGUCGUCGGGCGCGAUCGGCGUUGCGCUGUUCGCGGAGUUGCCUCUGGUCAUCUGUUUCUCCAUCAACGACCGGUUCGUCGGCGCUGACAUUGAACACAAUAUCCCCUCGCCGUGGGGGAAAUAUCGGGAAUCGGUUGAAACCCGGAGGUUGUGAAGGAAAAUCCAGGUCGUAGUCCUCGUCUUCGGUGUUUAUAACCUCGGUGGGGACGAAACCGGUGCUUGAGUUGGUGCUGGAAACCUGGCCGUCCCGUAGUUCUCGGAUUGUCACCAUGUUGACGUAGUGACGAUCGUUCCUUGUCGGCGACCAACCCGCCUUGCUGAAAACGGAUUGGGUGUGCUGUGAGUAAACAGAGGCCGAGUUGUUCAGGCCGCAAGGAUAAUCUUCCUUCUUGAGCUCGACGGAUCGUCCUGAGGGUGUUGAGGUUAUCGUCAGAGACGUUCCCAGCCGUUCGUGUGUGGCGACACGAGUUGGCCGGCGGGAUUUGAAAAAAUCCGCUGGAGCAGCUUGGUCGGGCCGGCGCAGAACUCCGUCUACUAGUUGGGAAACUUCGAGUAGCUUGGAGUCAGUGCGAUCAAGCGCUUGGAGAAGGUCCGAGCUGUCGAUCUUCUUUCCCUUGUAGAGCGGGAACGGUGGUCGGGCGCUCGGUGCCGCCACGUGUGUGGUCGGAGACGGCGUGAUCUCAGAUUGGAUCUGGGUCUCUUUCGAAACCGUGGUCGUGAGGCCGCCGCUGCACGUCGUCCACGUGAUCUGGCCAACGGUGAACGUGAGGCCUUCAGGCACGGUCGCGGAAGCUGGGAUCGUGACCAUCUUGUUCGCCGGAAAAGUUGCACGCACACCCCCUACCUGGCGCGCCACUGUCGACGAAAGCUGGUCGGCAGUCUACCUUGGGGUAUACCCACGGUAGUAGUUUAUCGGUAGACGGUGCGCAAACUACGAACUCGAUGGUGACGCAAGACACGGACAAGCUUUUUAUCCAGGUUCGGCCGCCGAGUUGGCGUAAUACCUACGUCCUGCGUCUGGUUGUAUUGAUUUGUGUUGAGAGAAUAUGAUGUUCUAGGGGGGUCCCUUGCCUCUCCUUAUAUAGUCUGAAGGGCAGGGUUACAGAUCUGGAAACUAAUCCUAGUCGGUUACAAUUGUCAUAGAUAGUUCGAUAUCAAUUCCUAUUCUAACCGACUAGAAUUCUGCUUGAUCUCCACAUCUUGCUUCCUUGAGCGAAACUCCAGGCUAUCGGAUCAAGCCUUGAACUCGUCUCGUAAUGGGCCAAGCUUCCUGGCCGAAGUCUAGCCGUAAGGGUAUAGGGGUUUAUACCCCCACAGCUCCUCCUGUUGGUCCUCCUCCUUGAUUCACGUCUGGAUUGAUGUGGAAUUUGUGUAGUCUUGGUCUUGAAGAAAAAUGUCUCCUUCCUCCCUUUGACGUAGAAACUGAUCUUGGCAGCACUGGCGUAGAUGAUAGCUCCCGUGGUGUUCAAGAAUGGCCUCCCUAAGAUGAUGGGUACUCUCUCAUCAUUUCCGGUCUCUGCCACUACGAAGUCUGCUAGGGCAUACAAGGUACCAACUCGAACACAAAGGUUCCUCAAUAUUCCUUUUGGAAAAGUUAUCGUCUGAUCUGCAAACUGCAAACACAUGGUUGUCUCUAAUAAAGGAUAUGUAAAGAAUUUCUCAUAGAGUACUGUCGAGGGUAUCGGUAAGGGGUACCCUCAGCAAUGCGCAUCGUGAGAUUGCCCGUACGAAGGUCGAGACCCUUAAUUCGACGCUCUAAUCUUACGUGUGCGCCGCCGUCGACAGUCGCGGCCUCGAAGACGGAAAUAGUCUCGAGCGAAUCGGUUCAGGACUCGAACGAUGGCUGCCGUCGAUGACGGAAGCGGGCUCGAGCGAACCAGAAGCUGUCGGGCGCGAGGACACUGUCCGCCGCCCGACGCGCGCACGCGAGCCGGAGCAUUAAAUGUACCUGACGCUUCCCCACCUAACACACAGGUCAUGGGAGGCGUGAUAGGAAGCAAGCUUCCGUCCCAUCGUUCUUUUUGCAGCCUUCCCACCGAACGACCCAGGGCGUGUCAGGACGCGGGAAACAAGGAUGGAACGUCUAAUCGGGACCCCCUCGAGACACCCAAGGUCAACGCUCCAGAUAUCUGCAUAUUACGCGGCGCCCGACCCUCGAUCGAACAAGGUCCCUUCCUAGAGACAAGUCGGGCGUCGACUGACGACACCACAGCAGCUCCGCUGGAUCCGCCACCAUACCGUACGAGCAUGCGACCUCAGAACCAGCACAAGGCGGCUGGCAGGGCAGCUCGCAGGAGCACGCGUAAUCAUCACCAAGCUAUCAGGAUGGGACGGCUCGAGGCCAUGCCGUACGGAAGCCUCGAGUAGGUCAGCGCUCCAUGCGGCUAUCGAUCCCUACUCUAACGUCUACGCAUGUACCCUGUGUCUCUCCUUGGAGCUAUAAAAGGAGGGACUCAGGAAUAGAAGAGGGACAUCUCACAACACACGAACACACACACGUAGUAGAGCUACACACUUCAUUCCACGCUUGUAUUCGCCCCUGUACAAGCACUUAGGUGCAAGAUAAUACAAACUCUCUCCCCCCGCUGGACGUAGGGCCUUCUCUUGCCCGAACCAGGAUAAAUCUCCGUGUCUUCUUGCAUCACCAUCCGGAAAGGGAAGCACGCAUACAAAUUUACUAGUUGGUGUGACCCCCCUGGGGGAAAAACACCGACAAGUACCCUGGGUAUAAUGUUGACGCUAGAGCCAAAGUCACAAAGUGCUUCUGGAACGUCCACCAUACCGAUGGAGAUCGGAAUGACAGGGCGUCCUAGAUCGCCUCUCUUCAUUCCAGCUUUGAUUGGACGCCAUCUUCUCCACAAGAGCUGUGGCUUGUGGUAUAGUAAGUGAUAAGAAUGCUCCUCCAGCUGCAGCAUCCAUGGUCUCUCGGGCACUGUUGCCGAGCCCAUGAUAAAAUGUCUGCAUCAAAAGCCAACUCUCCAUUCCAUGAUGGGGACAUUCUAGGAUGUAGUCUUGGAAGCGCUCCCAUGCUUCUGGAACGGAUUCAUCAUUUUGUUGCUGAAAACUUGUAAUCUUCCCACGGAGAGCAUUGGUCUUGCCCAUGGGAAAGAACUUAGCCAGGAAGUUUGUUGAGCAGAGUGCCCACAUAGUAUUCUUCUCCUUUGUAGCGUAGAACCACUGCUUCGCUCUUCCUAAUAGUGAGAAUGGGAAGAGGCGAAGUAGUAUAGCAUAUAUUGAAACUCCUGAUAUGGUGAAUGUGUUGCAAAUCUCCAGGAAGUGUUGUAAAUGAGCACUAGCAUCUUCGUGUGCCUUCCCACAGAACUGGUUGGAUUGCACCAUGUUGAUAAGUCCAGGCUUGAGCUCAAAGUUGCCAUCGAUCUCUGCAGCAGGUCCAGUGUGGAUGUUGUCCGUAGUGGGAGCUGAGAACUCACGGAUUGAUUUGUUCGCCAUGGCUUCGAACUCUGAAGACAAGUUCCGGUGAUCUUCUUGAUUGGAUGAAGCUUCUUGCUGAACUGUUGAUGAUCUCUUCUUGAGCUUGGCUCUCGUCUUCUUGAAUAAUGCUUCGGGAUUGUCAACAAAAUUUCCUGGAAGAUGUCUUCUAUUCAUACAUUCCCCUGCAUAAGAUAAAAUAGAAAAAUAUCAGGGUAAAACUGUAUGAGAGAAUAGGUAAGCUCAAUCAUAUUAGUGAUGCGAAUGAUAACUCAAAAUCUUUUAUUCCAUUCCUGAUUAGUAAUCAUCCUUCCCCAGCAACGGCGCCAAAAAUGCUUGUUGGGUAUUCUUAACAUCAUUACCAAAAAUAGACUAUGUUCUCUAAAUCUAGUAACGGUGCCAAAAAUGCCAAACCUAUCCCUCACACCACUUAAGCCAAGUUGUCAUCCCCAGCAUGACAUGAGAGAUGCAGUAUUGAAAUAUGCAAUUGCUCUUCUAAAUAAAUAAUGAAUGGGAUCUGCAAGCGCACAGAUUAAAAGCGAUGCAGCAUUUUAACCGGGAAGUAUUCCAGGUAUCGUUAUUUAUAUUUUUACCACUGGGAAGGGAUUAACAAUCAUCAAUAUUGAUUACAGAAUAGAAUUUGAGAUUGAGCAUCUAUCAUUGCAUGUAUAAUUGAGAACAUUACAUCUAACUCUUCAUACAGGGAUAAGUGUCACAUAGAAGAUAUAUGAAAUAAUGAAUAGUGACAAGGAUAACUAAUCUGAUCUAGCCACAUAAUAAAUAUGAUAAGCACCUCAAUUAUAUACUCUAGAAAGUCAUUAGCAUGGUAUUAGAACGAACUACAAGAAUAUUCCCUAAGUUAUUCUCAACUAUAUAGUUUAGCAUUAUCAUAGUUAGUGCAAGCAUACUUAGCAAUCAUUGUGAGACAAGACUACGCCCAUGCAUAGUGAUAUUAGCAAGGUAAAGGAGAAACAUAGCAAUCACUCCCCUGUAAUAAUAUUGCUCUGCCAGCCCAAUACAUGAGAGGGGGACUAUAUAAGAAUCAAUGAAGCUGUCACUAUCACGAACUACCCCACGAUCUGGCAUAUUGGCUACAAUCGCAGAUAAAUACGGUAUAAGCACCACGCCUACACAAUAUCUAUCAUUUACCCAUGGAUCCGAUGGAUAAACGCUAUACGAUCCUAAGCAUGUAUAUAGAUCCAAUCUAACUAAGCCAAGUACAUAACUAUGAUAAACUAAGAACAAUAUAAUCUUGAAUAUAAGCAAGUAGAGCAAAGUCAUAAGCAAUAUAUUGAAGUAGAACAAAGUCAUAUUCAUAAUAUUGAAGAACAAAGAUAAUUAGAAAGUAAUUAGAAGCACAACUAGAGAAUUACCAAGAAUCCUCCUGACAGAUCCGGAAAUCAAUCGAAGAUUGACUCCUUCUAGUUCUAAUCCUAUGUAGCUAUGCUAAUCUAGAUAUCUAAUUGAUGUGGUGGCUCUAAUCUUGAUCAGAGGCUUCUUCUCCCUUGAGUAACAAUGAAUUAGGGUUGAGAGGCUCUCUCCUCCAGGGGCCAGGGGGUCUCGUUUUAUAGUCCCUUCAAGUGAAUAUGGGCCGUUGGAUCAAACCGACAUAGAUUGUAUGGUUUAGAUUCAUCCUUUAGGUCGGUGGAGAUCUUCCACGAAGCAGAGUCCUGAUUGGACUCAGGGAGAGGGCGGGCGCCCUGCCUUUGGCCCCGUUUCGCCUCCGCUUCGGUCUCGUGGCUUCUGGAGUCUUCUAGAUGUAAGAUAAUUACGCGGCACGUUAAUAUCUCUAUGUAAUCCCGACGUGUGGGCCUUUCUUCCGUAUUUCCUGAUAACCCCUUGUAGAAAUAGACAAACACCAAAACUCGUGGAAUUCUUUCAAAUAAAACCCUAAGUCUAGAUGUUGAUUUCAUUUGGAUCCUUUUCUUUGUUUAUUUGAUAAUUAAAUUUGAUACUUAAGGACCGUCAACACCGUGUUCCCGCACGACGGUGGUGCCACAGCCGGAAUGGCGUGACGUGAACCGACACCAAGACCUAAGCAGACCUUAACGCGACUCAGAGGGAAGAAAGGAGGCGAGAAUGGAGUAGCGGCGAGGUUCGCCGGAAUCGGGGUCGCGACGGCCGUGAACCCGACGACGACGAACUCGCGAAAUGUCGCUCACCUCGGGGAGAUCUCGUCCAACCGAGGGGUGGAGAAGAUGGAGGAGCUCGAGGCGGACUUGGAGACGCUCGGAGGCGAGGCGAGAUGCAUAGGCGAGGGCGCAAGGAGCUCGUGAAGCUCGCGGCGGCAAUGGCGAUGGCACUGUCGCCGACGGAGACGCGAGAGAGAGAGGAAGGAAGAGAGUGGACGGGCACUGGGUGAGUGUGGGGUGUCGUGGCGUCCAUGACGACGCCGUCGACCUGACGAGCGAGGCCAACGCUGGCGUACAGGUGCCAAAUGGCAGCCAGGUGUCGCGCUGGGCGACCACGACGGCGAGCUCGGCUCUGAAUUAGACCACGCGAUCACCGACUGACAGAGCUACUUCAACGAUGGUUAUCUUCCAAACCAAGGCGAGUUAGGAGAUGGGGUAGUUGACAAAGUUGAAGUACUAGCCGAGUUCUACAACAUUGUCAACUAGGGCAAAAGCCAGAUCGGCCUGGAUUGAAAGAUGUGAGGCUUCCAAAAUCGAUCGAGCAAACUGGUGUCGUCUAGACUUAGCCAAAUUUGGCUAAGUGCCAAAACAGCACCCCAAAACUGCCUUGCAAGAAACUUUUGAGCAAGAUGUGUUCAUUUUCAUGAGAUGGCCAUAAAACAACUUUUGUUCCUUAUAAAAUUGUCUACAACUUUGCUGUAGAAAGUUUUGACAUGCAAACAUUUUAUGAAACACUUUUUAAAAGCUCAAGCAAAAGAGGUUUCUAGGGCCUAUACAUAGAAGUAUGACUUAAGUGAUUAUUUUGGAGAAGUGAUCAACAUGAACAUUGUUUCUAAGGUUGAGUGAAGCAUAGAUAAACUAAUUACCAAGGAUUAACACACAUGCAUGAGCAUGGUUCACAAAAACACAAGCAUAGGAAGCAUGAUUAAACAAGUCAAAGCACACUUAAGCAUAAAAUGACAUGGCUCAAGGUAGAUGAUGAUCAUGACAUGCUUGAGUAGAUGAUGAUGCUCAUGUUAUGCUUGUGAUUGAUGCAACCAUAACACUGGGCUGUUACAUACAACCUUGAGAUUCAUUACCACACAGGAAAGGCCAAUGUGGUAGCAGAUGCCCUAAGUAGAAGGUCAUAUGGUUAGCAGUUGGUGCCUAAGAACAAUCACCUACAAGAAGAGAUAGCACAGUUGAACAUGCAUAUAGUACGCCAACCUCAAAAUGGUAGUCUGAUGGUGCAGCCAACUCUUGUGGAAGAAAUCAAACAGACACAACAUAAGGAUAAGGAUCUAAUGAAAAUUCAUGAGCAAACUAGAGAAAAUAAAGCUCCAUACUUUAGAGUGGAUAACAAAGGAGUAUUGUGGUAUAAAAACAGGAUUUGUGUGCCUAAGGAGGGAAUGUUUCAAGAAUUAAUCCUUGAUGAAGCCCAUAACUCAGCUUAUUCUAUCCACCCUAGUGCCACCAAGACGUACAUGGACCUAAAAGAAAGAUAUUGGUGGAAUGCCAUGAAAGCUGAUGUGGCACAAUUUGUUGCACAAUGUGAUGUAUGCCAGAGGGUUAAAGCGGAGCAUCAGAAACCAGCAGGCUUCCUCCAGCCAUUUCCUAUUCCUGUUUGGAAAUGGGAUGAGAUAGGUAUGGAUUUUGUGAAUGGAUUACCCAAAACUCUGUAAGGAAAUGAUUCAAUAUGGGUAAUUGUGGACCGCCUUACCAAGGUCGCUCACUUCAUACCUGUGUGCACCAAGUAUAGUGGAGACACGUUAGCCCAGUUAUAUGUGGAUAGCAUAGUCAAAUUGCAUGGUGUGCCAAGUAGGAUUGUAUCUGACAGAGGUACCCAAUUUACCUCUAAUUUCUAGAAAAGUUUGCAUGAAUCUAUGGGGACCAUGCUAGAUUUUAGCUCAGCUUAUCAUCCUCAAACAGAUGGCCAGACUGAAUUGAUAUUAUCCAGUAAUUGUCUUAUUCGAAUCUAGGAACAAAUAAUAUGCUAUGACAGAAAUAUUAUUAUUUAGUAUGCUUAGGAUUUGUUACUCAUCCUGGAUACUCAUCACUACAUUUUCUUAAAUAUAAUGAUUUUAAAAGCAAAACUGUGUGAGUGGAGAAAAUAAAUUGUGGGUAUUGUGAAAGGGGUAAUGAACAAGUUAUAGAUGUGAACACUAUAGAGAUGGGGCGGAUGGGACCCCUGUUGGGGGAUGCCUUGGUGUUGUGGCUUAUACCUUGUGGGGUUAAGCUUGAAGAUAUCCGCCAUGUCUCGACUAAGGACUGAGUUGAUGAUUCAUCUUGCCUAACUCAGUUAUCGUACAACCACUCGCCUUGCAUGGGAAAGGCUUAGUCUAAAUCCCUCUAGUUAGGAUGGCAAUUACAUGGAGGUAGGUGUGCAACGGGACACUAAGAGAUGUAUGUAAAACGGUGGAAAUAUAUGAGAUAUAAAGAGCUUUGUGAAUUAUUGUGGUAUCAUGAGAUGUGGCCUUAGUGUUCCCGUGGUGAGCGCCAUUACUUAGCUAUGGAGGGUAAUGACUUUGAUGGAUCUGUGUGUUGACGGUCCUUAAGUAUCAAAUUUAAUUAUCAAAUAAACAAAGAAAAGGAUCCAAAUGAAAUCAACAUCUAGACUUAGGGUUUUAUCUGACAGAAUUCCACGAGUUUUGGUGUUUGUCUAUUUCUGCAGGGGGUUAUCGGGAAAUACGGAAGAAAGGCCCACACGUCGGGAUUACAUAGAGAUAUUAACGUGCCACGCAAUUAUCUUACAUCUAGAAGACUCUAGAAGCCACGAGAAGCAAGCGGAGGCCGAACGGGGCCAGAGGCAGGGCGCCCGCCCUCCUGCCCUGGGCGCCCGCCCUGACUCGGAGGCCAAUCGGGACUCUGUUUCUCGGGAGAUCUGCACCGACCUAAAGGAUCAAGGAUAACAGUUCAAUCAAUGUCGGUUUGAUCCAACGGCCCAUAUUCACUUGAAGGGACUAUAAAACCAAACCCCCUGGCCCCUGGAGGAGAGAGCCUCUCAACCCUAAUUCAUUAUUCUCAAGGGAGAAGAAGCCUCUGAUCAAGAUUAGAGCCACCACAUCAAUUAGACAGCUAGAUUAGCAUAGCUACAUAGGAUUAGAACUAGAAGGAGUCAAUCUUCGAUUGGUUUCCGGAUCUCUCAAGAGGAUUCUUGGUAAUUCUCUAAUUGUACUUCUAAUUAUCUUUGUUCUUAAAUAUUAUGAAUAUGACUUUGUUCUACUUCAAUAUAUUGCUUAUGACUUUGCUCUACUUGCUUAUAUUCAAGAUUAUAUUGUUCUUAGUUUAUCAUAGUUAUGUACUUGGCUUAGUUAGAUCGGAUUUAUAUACAUGCUUAGGAUCGUAUAGCGUUUAUCCAUCGGAUCCAUUGGUAAAUGAUAGAUAUUGUGUAGGCGUGGUGAUUAUACCGUAUUUAUCUGCGAUUGUACCCAAUAUGCCAGAUCGUGGGGUAGUUCGUGAUAGUGACAACUUCAUUGAUUCUUAUAUAGUCCCCCUCCCGUGUAUUGGGCUGGCAGAGCAAUAUUAUUACAGGGGAGUGAUUGCUAUGUUUCUCACUUACCUUGCUAAUAUCACUAUGCAUGGGCGUAGUCUUGUCUCGCAAUGAUUGCUAAGUAUGCUUGCACUAACUAUGAUAAUGCUAGACUAUAUAGUUGAGAAUAACUUAGGAAAUAUUCUUGUAGUUCGUUCUAAUUCCAUGCUAAUGACUUUCUAGAGUAUCUAAUUGAGGUGCUUAUCAUAUUUAUAUGUGGCUGAUCAGAUUAAAUAUCUUUGUCACUAUUUAUUAUUUCAUAUAUCUUUUAUGUGACACUUACCCCUAUAUGAAAGAGUUAGAUAAAUGAUCUCAAUUAUACAUGCAAUGAUAGAUACUCAAUCUCAUAUUCUAUUCUGUAAUCAAUAUUGAUGAUUGCUAAUCCCUUCCUAGUGGUAAAAAUAUAAAUAACGAUACCUGGAAUACUUCCCGGUUAAAAUGCUACAACGAUAUUUAUUUAGAAGAGCAAUUGCAUAUUUCAAUACCGCGUCUCUCAUGUCAUGCUGGGGAUGACAACUUGGCUUAAGUGGUAUGAGGGAUAGGUUUGGCAUUUUUGGCACCGUUAUCAGAUUUAGAAAACUAAGUCUACUUUUGGUAAUGAUGUUAAGAAUACCCAACAAGCAUUUUUGUCAUUGUUGCCGGGGAAGGUUGAUUACUAAUCAGGAAUGGAAUAAAAGAUUUUGAGUUAUCAUUUGCAUCACUAAUAUGAUUGAGCUUAUCUAUUCUCUCAUACAGUUUUACCCCGAUAUUUUUCUAUUUUAUCUUAUGCAGGGGAAUGUAUGAAUAGAAGACAUCUUCUAGGAAAUUUUGUUGACAAUCCCAAAGCCUUAUUCAGAAAAACAAGAGCCAAGCUCAAAAAGAGAUCAUCAACACUUCAGCAAGAAGCUUCAUCCAAUCAAGAAGAUCACCGGAACUUGUCUUCAGAGUUCGAAGCCAUGGUGAACAAAUCAAUCCGCGAGUUCUCAGCUCCCACUACGGACAACAUCCGCACUGGACCUGCUGCAGAGAUCGAUGGCAACUUUGAGCUCAAGCCUGGACUUAUCAACAUGGUGCAAUCCAACCAGUUCUGUGGGAAGGCACACGAAGAUGCUAGUGCUCAUCUCCAACACUUCCUGGAGAUUUGCAACACAUUCACCAUAUCAGGAGUUUCCAGAGAUGCCAUACUACUUCGCCUCUUCCCAUUCUAACUGUUAGGGAGAGCGAAGCAUUGGUUCUACGCUACAAAGGAGAAGAAUACUACUUGGGCACUCUGCUCAACAAACUUCCUGGCUAAGUUCUUUCCCAUGGGCAAGACCAAUGCUCUCCGUGGGAAGAUUAUAAGUUUUCAGCAACAAAAUGAUGAAUCUGUUCCAGAAGCAUGGGAGCGCUUUUAAGACUACAUCCUAGAAUGUCCCCAUCAUGGAAUGGAGAGUUGGCUACUAAUGCAGACAUUUUAUCAUGGGCUCAGCAACGGUGCCCGAGAGAUCAUGGAUGCUGCAGCUGGAGGAGCAUUUUUAUCACAUACUAUAUCACAGGCCAUAGCUCUUGUGGAGAAGAUGGCGUCCAAUCAAAGCAGGAAUGAAGAGAGGACCCAGACACGCAAGAGAGGUGGAGGUAUGCAUCAGCUUAAGGAGGUAGACAUGCUGUCUGCAAAGCUAGACCUGCUCAUGAAGAAGCUCGAAUAUAGAGCUGGAGAUAAGAAAGAAGUUAUGCACAUCUACGACUCUCACAUGACUUGUGAGGAGUGUGGAGACACUGGACACUCAGGCAAUCACUGCCCCGAGAUGCUUGAGGAUGUGAACUACAUCAACAACAACAACAAAUACUACUACAACCGUCCUCAACAAAAUCAAGGUUGGAAUCAACAGAGGCCUAACUACUCAGGUAAUUAUCAAGGUAAUAAUUCUUACAACAAUAAUAAUAAUUUUCCACCUUUGAGAGAGUUAGUGUCUAAUCAAGGAAAGCUAAUGGAUAACCUAUCUAAGAAAUUGGCAUCUAAUGAUAAAAUGUUAGAAAAUAUAAAUAAUAGAAUGGAUAAUUUCUCUACUGCCAUCAAGAGUCAAAUUAGCUUUAAUAAAAUGAUUGAAUCUCAGUUAAAUCAAAUAGCUGCUGCUGUUCCUCCUACUAACCCCGGUAUACCAUCACAACCGGAAGGAUUAGAAUCUGCAAAUCUUGUAGACAUGUUUGAUGCAGGUAAUUGGAGUAACCCCAUCACUGAAGUUACUUCUGACCUUCUGCCGGUCAAGAGAGGCGAUCCAGGAUGCCCCGUCAUCCUGAUCUCCAUCGGCAUGGUUGACGUCCCAGAAGCACUCUGUGACAUUGGCUCUAGCGUCAACAUUAUACCCAGGGUACUCUAUGAAAAGUUCUUUACAUAUCCUUUAUUAGAGAAAACCAUGUGUUUGCAGUUUGCAGAUCAGGCGAUAAGUUUUCCAAAAGGAAUAUUGAAAAACCUUUGUGUCCGAGUUGGUACCUUGUAUGCCCAAGCAGACUUCUUGGUGAUAGAGACCGGUAAUGACGAGAGAGCACCCAUCAUCUUAGGGAGGCCAUUCUUGAAGACAUCGGGAGCUGUCAUCUACGCUAGUGCUGCCAAGAUCAGUUUCUACAUCAAAGGGAGGAAGGAGACAUUUUUCUUCAAGAACAAGACUACACAACUCCCAGAUCAAUCUAGACAUGAAUCAAGAAAGAGGACCAACAGGAGGAACAGGAAUAAGCAAGUGUGGACCGAGUCAGCUAAGAUGGUCACUACAGUUCAAGGAGGUCAAGAUCAUCAACUUAGGUCACCAUUUUUGACCAAGAAGGACGACCCAGGAAUGCCAAGCAUCUAUUGCUCCAUAAAUGGACACAACUUCUACAAGACGACUUGCGACACCGGAUCGGGCGUCAACAUAAUGGCCGCUGUCACCUAUCGGCUCUUGUUCGGAACCAUGCCCUUAAAACCAACAUACAUUCAGCUCCAGAUAGCAGAUGAGACGUUUCGAGAAGUUAAAGGAAUAGUAACUGAUGUCCGUGUCAAAAUAGACGAUCAUUUUGUCUACAUAGACUUUCAUGUUAUUGACAUGGGAGAAGACGAAUACGAUCCACCCAUCAUCCUUGGAAGACCGUUCCUCAGCACCGUUAAAGCAAUCAUCUACAUUGUAACUGGAGAAGUCCAUAUGCACUUCCCCUCUGAGAAGGUAUGACACUAUUUUACUAACCCUAACUACAUCUUUGAAGAAUCUAAGCAGGAAAGAAAACGACGCAACCGCAAGCAGAGGAGGCAAAUCAUCAAGGACGGAUGGGCAAACUACGAAGGAGAAGUGGUAAGGUCAGAAGACGUAGAAUUUAAACAAAACUAUCCUGAGGAGACCAUCGCACCGAGUUAGGUGUGGAAAGAGAAGAUAACCAUGCAUGAGGAAGAGGCGCUGCCGGAAGUACCGACUCCGCCACCCAAAGAAUCCCAGGACAAUUGAGAAAGAGGAGAGUCCUGUUCAGAGGACUUAAAAACACCGAACGCCUUGCCAAGAGGUAAACUUGGUAGUUAUCCUUUCCCUUUCAAUUAUUUUAAAAUAGUCUACUUAGUUAAUCAAGUUAAUACUAUCCUAAAAAGAAAAUAAAAUGUUAAAAAAUAGUAAGCCCCAUGUGAGUAUACGAGUGGCAUAAAACCCAUAAGUACAUUCACUGUGGUGGCAUAAAAAUAAAAUAAAUAUUUUUCUGCUUUAUAAAACGAAAAUAUAAAAGUAGAGAGUAAUAAUUAUUAAGGAGUCUCAACAUGAUAAAGGCUAGAUAUUUAUGCUAAGACGUAAUCAGUUCCACAAGCUUUGUUGUCUAUUUGAGCUCCACAGAAUUUAAGAAUCAAGAAGACUAGGAGACGGAGGACAUUCUCAUCACUGUCAGAAUGCUGCUGACUUUCAAAUACACCUCUGCCACCUGCUAACUACAUCAAGAGAAAUUACGUCAAAAUUCAGCUUAGGGGAGAGCACCUUCUAUUUAUCCCGAUAAGUAUUUCUAUCUAUCUAUCUUUAUUCUUAUACUAUAUUAAAAUAUAGAUAUACAUAACUAUGGAAAACCAAAUAAAGAUUUUGUGCUUAUAUAUAUAUCUUUUGCUUAGUGUGUUUAAUAAAUAAAUAAAGUGGCUAUGCUAAUUUCUAUCUAAAUAAAACUCUAGCAUGGAUAUGAUGAAUAGUUGCUCUGCCUAAUUUGCACAUUUUAAGUUCUCUCUCAAGUUUAGAUAUAACUGUUAUAAUUUAAAGCUUGCUCUAAACCUAAACCUGUGGAAAGAAAACUUGAUCUGAAGUCUAAGUUGUUAACGGAUAUGAUAUGGGAAGGUUGAGCUGCUGUUUAUCUGUUCCUAGAGAUGCUAGAAUUCUGGAGAAUUUUAUCUUUGAAAAGCUUUAAAAUAUUGCAUGAUGAGUUCCUGUGUGAUGAGAGUAUAAAUUCCUACCACAGCCAUAUAUACAUGCUUGCUAGACUUUGAGCCACACAUUUACUAUUUACUGCUUAUGAGCAUUGAGUGUGGUCAAGCUGUGUAGACCCUUAGGAGCUUGUCAUGUGGUUAAAUCAAGAUUUCACUUGCACGUUCACUCACACAUGCUACUUCUACUCCGGAAGUACCAUCCACAUAUAUCCACCCAUUUCCAUCUCCAGAAUCACCUAAAAAUAUUCUACUCCUAAUCCGGGAGAGAAUAACCAAAAAUAUUUCUGUUUUUCCCUAUGAAAUAAAUGCUCAAGUUAUCUUGUUACUACCACUUGCUAUAUUAUCUCAAGAGAUGAGUGCUCUAAGAAAAGAGAUACCAGGAAAUAAAAAGGGGCAAGUGCCCGGAACCUCGAAAGAAAAGAAAAAGUGAGACGAGAGGUAAAAAUGGACAAGUGUCCGACAGUACAAUUAGGGGUACAAGAUACCCAUCUGAGAGAAAAGAAAACGAAGAGCAUCUCAUUCUCCUCAUAAAGUUUCAAAAAGCAAGGAAGGUAUGUAUCCUCUCGAAGAGCAAAAGUAGAAUUAGACUUUCACCAUUGUUAUCACCAUCAUCACCAUACACCAUUCAUUCGCCACACAUGCACAUCUUGAUUUGACUUAUUGAUUUGUUUCUUUGGAUCCAUGGUUUGACUAUGCAAUACAUGUCUUGUAAGUAUGUAUAUUUUAUCUCCCACACCUAUGAGCUCCAGAUAUUAAAGCCUUAUUAGAGUAGGGUGAGAGAGAAGGCAAUGUCACUAUGCCUUAUACCACAAAUACCACAUACUUUUUGAGAGAAGGCAUAUACCAUCAUUGCCAUGGUAAGGAUCCAGAAAUACCAUAAAAGAGAGAUCUGAGAGAAUCAUACAAGGAAUCUCUGAGUUUUAUUUGAAAAUCUGCAAAAACUUCAGAGCUAUAGCUGAUCAAGAAUAAGAGACAUGGCACUUGACUAGACUAUUCUAUCUUUUAACUACUCAAGACAGAAGUGACGGUUAUAAGUCCCAUGGUGAAGGUAAAGUAAGUAGGUUUUAAGUCUUGACAGUUUACUCUAACUCAGAGAUGAGAUCUUAUUUAAAAAGCAUGUGUACCGACAAUUUUUAAAGAUAUUGCAACAACUUCUAAUCCAUCGCUGAGUCUAUCCUUGCUCAGGGAUGAGCAAGAGGUAAUCUUGGGGGAGUUUGUUGACGGUCCUUAAGUAUCAAAUUUAAUUAUCAAAUAAACAAAGAAAAGGAUCCAAAUGAAAUCAACAUCUAGACUUAGGGUUUUAUCUGACAGAAUUCCACGAGUUUUGGUGUUUGUCUACUUCUGCAGGGGGUUAUCAGGAAAUACGGAAGAAGGCCCACAAGCCGGGAUUACAUAGAGAUAUUAAUGUGCCACGCAAUUAUCUUACAUCUAGAAGACUCCAGAAGCCACGAGAAGCAAGCGGAGGCCGAACGGGGCCAGAGGCAGGGCGCCCGCCCUCCUGCCCUGGGCGCCCGCCCUGACUUGGAGGCCAAUCAGGACUCUGUUUCUCGGGAGAUCUCCACCAACCUAAAGGAUCAAGGAUAACCGUUCAAUCAAUGUCGGUUUGAUCCAACGGCCCAUAUUCACUUGAAGGGACUAUAAAACCAGACCCCCUGGCCCCUGGAGGAGAGAGCCUCUCAACCCUAAUUCAUUAUUCUCAAGGGAGAAGAAGCCUCUGAUCAAGAUUAGAGCCACCACAUCAAUUAGACAUCUAGAUUAGCAUAGCUACAUAGGAUUAGAACUAGAAGGAGUCAAUCUUUGAUUGGUUUCCGGAUCUGUCAGGAGGAUUCUUGGUAAUUCUCUAAUUGUGCUUCUAAUUGUUCUUCUAAUUAUCUUUGUUCUUCAAUAUUAUGAAUAUGACUUUGUUCUACUUCAAUAUAUUGCUUAUGACUUUGCUCUACUUGCUUAUAUUCAAGAUUAUAUUGUUCUUAGUUUAUCAUAGUUAUGUACUUGGCUUAGUUAGAUUGGAUUUAUAUACAUGCUUAGGAUCGUAUAGCGUUUAUCCAUCGGAUCCAUGGGUAAAUGAUAGAUAUUGUGUAGGCGUGGUGCUUAUACCGUAUUUAUCUGCGAUUGUACCCAAUAUGCCAGAUCGUGGGGUAGUUCGUGAUAGUGACAGCUUCAUUGAUUCUUAUAUAGUCCCCCUCUCGUGUAUUGGGCUGGCAGAGCAAUAUUAUUAUAGGGGAGUGAUUGCUAUGUUUCUCAUUUACCUUGCUAAUAUCACUAUGCAUGGGCGUAGUCUUGUCUCGCAAUGAUUGCUAAGUAUGCUUGCACUAACUAUGAUAAUGCUAGACUAUAUAGUUGUAACACCCAAAAAUUUACAAAUUUUGAAAUAGGUGGAAAUGAUUUAAUUCUGUAUUUUUGUGUUCAUGGAAUAUAGAGAAAUAAUAUUUUCAUCGAAUUAAAAUUUAUUAUAGGAUUUAGCAACUUGUUGUGCAUUCAUUUUUGGGGCAUUUGUUUUACUGUUUGGUGUGUAUUUAACUAAAGAUCAAAACAUUUCAAACAGAUUUAAAAAGGAUUUUUUAAAUGAGUUUGAAAUGGCUUUUAGAUAAAUGAAAACAAAAGAAAAAAAAGGGGAACAUCUCCCUCCAUUUGUUUUGGCCCGAAGACCCCAAGCCCCUCCCCUCUUCCCUUCCGGCCCAGCACGCCACCCCUUUUUCCAUCUCUCGCUCGGCCCACUCCCUCGGCCCAACCGCACGCGGCCACCCUUUCUCCCCGCGGCCCGCGUCCCUCCCUUCUCUCCCUGACAACCGGGCCCAGCUUGUCAGCCGCCCUUUCCCUUCUUCAACCCCGCGUCGGGUGCGUGUAGGACUCUAUUCCUACCGAAACUAUCCAAUCUUGUGGGGAUUUUUGCCCGAUUCGCGGACCUUGGUCCUUUAAAGGGGAACGGGGAUCCUACCGCCUCCGUUUCUUCCUAUUUUCCUAGACUCGAGCUCCAUCCUACCCUAGCAUAGCUCGCAAACACCGCCGCCAUCCUGUAGACUGACUCCGAGUGCGGAUUAGUGUUUCUACCACGACUCCGCUCCCGUAAGCUUGAUGCCGGGCUUCGUAAUGAAUUUGCGAAGUCCCUGGAUCUCUUUUCCCUUUAUUUUUCGCUUCGGUUUGCUCAGUUCGUGUUGCCGAACCUCGCAGGGACCCAGGAUCCGCCAAAACACGACGCAGGUCAUCUCAGAGUUGUCCUUGCCUUCGAUUUUGCCUCGGGGUGAGUUUGCCGUUUCCUCCUCUUGCUCCCCAUGCUCUCAGUUUUGUUUUUGGUUCCCUAAAUCGCCGAUUAGAUGAACUCUGGCGAGCUCCUCCUCUUUCCGGCCAUGGCACCGCCGUCGGUGCCCUCUGUUCCGGCCGGCCAGCCGUUCCCCUCUCCGCCGAUCUAAUCUGCGCCAUCGGUUUUGCGAUCAGCGGCCAAGAUCUCAACAUACCCCUUCGCGUGCGAUUUUGUUAAAGAGUCCUUGGAUUUUUCUAGGAAUCUACCCGCACUCCUUAGUGCUUUCUAUAGAUUAGGUUUUCUAAGUUGGAAAGCGUACUUUAGACUGGUUUCGCUCAGAUUUCGCUUUCUGAUAUUUACAAUUUUGCCACUGCAUCCGUUUUAGCCAUAAAAUAUUUAUUUUAAAUCCGUUUUGACCCAUUCAAAUUGCGUUAGGUUCAUAAUCAUGAUCUCUACAUGUUAGUAAAAUUAUUUACUCAGUUUGAAACUUUUUAAUUACGUGACUUUAAUUAAUUAAUCACUUUUCUAUAUAAAUCUUAGAAAAUUCAUAACUUCUACGUUUUAACUCUGAUUUUCGUGAUCUUUACGUCUAUGAAAUCGUAGCGAUGCGUAGAAUCGUUUUAUAAACUUUUCAUACUGUUUUUAUAUGAUUGGUGUACUGUUCUAAUUGUAGCUUUGUUUGCUUCGUGUAUGUUUGUUUCCGGUUGUUUGUGUGUUGAUGAUCGAUGAUCGAGUUUAGUCGGAGAGCAGUUUCGGUGAUCAAGAUCAAAGCUUUGGCAACAAGUGAGACCAGCAGAACCAAAAGGAUAAGCAAGAGCAUUUGGAUCAAGGCAAGUAUAGCAUUUGGGUUUUAUUUCUGUGACCAUGAUCCUGUGACUAGAUUAAUGUUAAGUAAUAAAUGAUAAAAGUGACUUUUUAGCAACUUGAUGAUUUGUCUGUACGUGAUCACCCGGGACAACAGUGCAACCAUGAGGGCUAUAAUGGCUCUGGCUUUAGUUAAGUAUGAGUAACUUUUUUAGCUCGUUAGUGGUUACCCGUUGUGGCGCAAUUGGGGAAUAGCAGACCGUGGAUUCCUGCGGGUGAGUCACACGGACUGACUAAUGAAACCAAGCGGCCCUAACUUGUUAGACGAACCUUUGAAAGACUUCAUAGUGAUCCCUGCCGACCUCCCUUGGAAGGGGGUUAAGAGAUUAGCUACCUCGGGUGAAAGGGUAAAUCAUGACUCAUGGGUAAAGAUGUGCAACCUCUGUAGAGGGUUAAAAACUAGUAUACUAGCCGAGCUCACGGUCAGGAGCGGCCUUGAGGACAUCUACAUUAAGGGUGAUGAUUCUUGUGUGUUAAUAUGCUCAUAUUUAUUGUUUAAAGCUUUACAUUAUUUAUGUCACAUUGAUCAUGGGAUUGUAGGAGCUAUACAAUCUAGUUGCUAUACUUGUGGAGUUCGACAUGGACUCACUCUUGCUAUUUCCCCCACCCUUCAGGAGAAGUUUAGGCUUGUGAUCAACCAGUCAGUUGGAUCCUGUAGAGUGGAGUUAAUACCCGAAGGUGGAGUUGUGUAUCCGCUGUUUGUUAUCAAAGGUUAUAUCUUUUAUACUAAGUACGUUAUAUAUUUAUGCAUUGUAUUUUGAUAUUACACCUUAUUUGUAGCUAUAUGUGAGAUUUGACUUCUAAAACUCAUAUAUAGUGUAUAUCUGGUUUUGUCCGUAAAAUCGGGUAUUACAGUAGUUGAGAAUAACUUAGGAAAUAUUCUUGUAGUUCAUUCUAAUUCCAUGCUAAUGGCUUUCUAGAGCAUCUAAUUGAGGUGCUUAUCAUAUUUAUAUGUGGCUGAUCAGAUUAAUUAUCUUUGUCACUAUUUAUUAUUUUUUAUAUCUUUUAUGUGACACUUACCCCUGUAUGAAAGAGUUAGAUAAAUGAUCUCAAUUAUACAUGCAAUGAUAGAUACUCAAUCUUAUAUUCUAUUCUGUAAUCAAUAUUGAUGAUUGCUAAUCCCUUCCCAGUGGUAAAAAUAUAAAUAACGAUACGUGGAAUACUUCCCAGUUAAAAUGCUACAUCGGUAUUAAUCUGUGCGCUUGCAGAUCUUAUUUAUUAUUUAUUUAGAAGAGCAAUUGCAUAUUUCAAUACCGCGUCUCUCAUGUCAUGCUGGGGAUGACAACUUGGCUUAAGUGGUAUGAGGGAUAGGUUUGGCAUUUUUGGCACCAUUAUCAGAUUUAGAAAACUAAGUCUAGUUUUGGUAAUGAUGUUAAGAAUACCCAACACUGUGCUUACACGACGGUGUAAGUUAUGGUAUCCUACUUGUGGGAAAAGUGUACAUCCUUUGCAGAGUGUAAAUCUAUCUGGAUAGCCGUGUCCGUGGUCUCAGACGGGUUAUGGUUUGGUUUCAACAACUAGAUGGGUUGGGAUCAGUGAAAACAUGAGAGUGAGUGUCAUUUUAGAAAUAAAUGGUUGACUGCCAUUGUGUUGUGGGAACAAGGGUUCAACAACACUAAAAAAUUGUGAUCAAACCCCCAUUUUCAGAAAUACUAUCAUAUGUGGAAAAAGAGGUCUUUUACAACAGUAUUUGUGAGAUCAAACCUUGCAUGUGUAAAAAGAUAGCAUUAUGCAAAUAAAACUAAGCCUCAUCCUUGAUUUAUCCAUAUGCAUAUAUAUUGUUAUCCCCUUCCGUAGGGUAAGGUUGGAUUUGCUGAGUACUUUCUACUCAUCCUUGUUUUAUUAAACAGACGAAGAUCCGGACUUUGAUCCCGAAGUGGCGUUCGAGUAAGGUCGUGUCUGCACCCAACUAAGCCUAUGGCAUUGGGACUUGUCAGAUGUUCAGUUGUGAUAUCGUUUGUUUCUGGGUCCUUUGGACCUAUGUUGUAUUUUGGUGUCUUAUUAUUAUAACGUGCCUUCAUUGUCCAAGCUUAUCGAGACUUCUGCACUGAAACUUAUCUAAUGUAAUAAAUGUGUUACUAGCCUCCUGGGACUAGUAUUGUAUCACAAUUGAGUUCCUGGAUUACCAGGGGCGCUUCACUUAACCACCACAUCAUCAAUAUAAAUUUCCGCCAACUUCCUGUUGAACUCAUAGAAAAUAAAGUUUAUAGCCCUCUGAUAAGUAGCACCAGCAUUUUUCAAUCCAAAAGUCAUGACUAUCAAUUCGAAUAACCCAACAUGACCAGGACACCUAAAUGCAGUCUGAGGAAUAUCUUCUUCAGUUAUGAAUAUUUGAUUGUACCCUGCAUUACCAUCCAUGAAGCUAAUAAUCUGAUCUCUAGCCGCAGCAUCAACCAACAAAUCGGCAACUGGCAUUGGAUAGCCAUCUAUCAGUGUAGCAUUGUUGAGAUUCCUAAAAUCAAUGCAUACACGAAGUUUUCCAUUUUUCUUGUAGAUAGUAACAACAUUGGAAAUCCACUCAGCAUACCGACAUUUCCAAAUGAACUUAGCUUCAAUAAGUUUGGUUAAUGGCCUUAAUAUCAGGAAGAAUAUUAUGGUUACAUCAGCGCUGGCUGCUGAUGUGGCCGAAAUCCUGAUUUAAUAGGUAACCGAUGUUCUACAAUUGAUCGGUCUAAUCCAGACAUCUCAGUAUAAUCCCAAGCAAAGCAAUCUUUAUACUCUUUUAGCAAAUUGGUUAAUUGUUGCUUACAUUCGUAAUUCAACUUAGCACUAAUGAAAGUAGGCCUCAGCCUAUCACCACUACCUACGUCUAUUUUUACCAAAUCAUCAGCCGAUGUAAACCCAUGUCCUAACUUCCCAUCAUCGGCGAACCUAUCCAUUAAAAUUCUUCGUCAGAACCGUCUGCUUAGAUUGGUGGAAUCUCAUAAUCGGCAACCUUGAGGAAAUCUUUCUUCCAAGCUUUUCCUCAUAUGCACCUAGUUCACUCAUAAGUGUCUGAUUUUGCCGAUGCAAUGAUGUAGGAAGAAUCCCCAUGAACAACUUCAAUUUUAUUGCCUACCCAUUGAACAAGGCACUGAUGGAUCGUAGAAGGGACACAAUAGUUGGCAUGAAUCCAAUCUCUCCCCAAUAGUAGAUUGUAUGCGCCCUUUCCAUUGAUGACAAAGAAAGUUGUCGGCAAGGUUUUGCUGCCGAUGGUCAAUUCAACGCAUAUAGCUCCUUUAGCUGGAGAUACGUUACCUUCAAAGUCUUUUAGCAUCAUAUCAGUUUUAGUUAAAUCCUGAUCUCCUUUACCAAGCUUCCGAUACAUCACAUAAGGCACAAUAUUAAUUGCAGCCCCUCCAUCAAUAAGUAUUUUAGAAACUGGCUCCCAUCAACCUUGCCUUUAACGAACAAAGCACUAAGAUGUUGCCUUUGAUCAUCAGAGGGUUUCUCAAAAAUAGCCAUCAUUGGAUCAAGUGCCAACUGAGCCAUUUGAUCAGAGAGAUUAAUUUCUUCAUCAUCACUGGAAGGUGCAAGAAAUUCCAUCGGUAACAUGAACACCAUGUUGAUAUCUACCGAUGUUCCUUUCCCCAUGCGGUCCAACUGCUGCCGAUCUUCAGACUUAGAAGAAUUUUCCUCUCUAUACAAAUCCUCCUGACGUUCACGCUGCAUCCUCUUCCUCUGCGUCCUUGUUCAUCCUUCUGGACACCAUCUGGGAAGCUUUGUCUUCCAAAUUGGCUGAUAGCGAACCUCCUUUAACUCUAUACAAUGAACGUUAGAAUCUCCGCAGAAUAUAAAUUCAUUGGGAACCCGUGCGUUUGCCAUUUCUUCAAGUUCUUCCUAAUUCGUCAGAAAAUGACCGGUAUGUCCACCAAGCCUGUCAUGCACGUUAAGCCUGCCCCCUAGCCGAUCAUGUACUGAUGUUCUUCUCCUGAUCGGCUCAUUAAUGCGCCGAUUAUCAGUUUAGAAUCUCUGAUUUGAUCGAUCGUGUCAAUGAUAACCAUUGCGCUUAGGACAAUCUUGAAUAGUUCGUAGUUUAAUACCCCAUUCCCAGCAAUGAACAAAAAACAGACAAUCCCAAUGAUCCUUAUGCCGAUUCCACUCUUAUCGACGCCUCUCUUCCUCCUGACGUUGAUCUUCUUGCUGACGCUGAUACUGAUCUUCACGCUGUUGCCACUUCUCCUAUUAUCGUCUAUGAGUAAUUACUACACUAGAUCGGGGAGGGCAUCCAGAGCUGUUACCUUCCUUAAACAAACAUUUCUCUUUGGCGUCAUCGGUAGUUAUCUGAUGCUGGGGAUCUACCAAUGCGUUCUUCUCAGCAGUUUCUGAAGUCAAGACCUUAGUCUUACCCUUGGUGUCUAACAUGUUAGUGGGGAAAGGGUGCUGAUUAAUUUUCAUCUGCUUCUGAGUUUUGGAACAAUCAAAUUUAAUCCUCCCAGACUCUAUAGCCGAUUGCAACUGCUGCCUAAACACUUUACACUAAUUUGUACUGUGUGAAGUUGCAUUAUGCCAUUCGCAAUACUUAAUCUUUUUCAACUCCUCUGCCAAUGGAAUUACAUGAUUAGGCGACAAUUUAAUCUAUCCUUGCUAAAGCAAGAAAUCAAAUAUCCUAUCAGCUUUGGUGAUAUCAAAAGCAAAUUUCUCUGGUUCUUUUUGACCAAAAGGACAAGACAUCGGCUUCUUAUUCUUUACCCACUCUGCCAAUCCGAUGACUAGUUCUUCAUCAGAAUCAGAACUCCCUGCCUCAUCAACAAAUGAUACCUUUUUAUUCCAUGUUUUCCUAGGUUCAAAAACCUUGAUAUCUUGAUCAGAAAUCCUCUACACCAAAUGACUCAAACUUUCAAACUCUUGAGAAGCAUAUUUAUCUUUGAGAUGUGGCAGCAAUCCUUGAAAGGCCAAAUUAGCUAACUGCCGAUCAUCUAGAACCAGACUGUAACAUUUGUUCUUUACAUCCCACAACCUCUACACAAAGCUCUCCACCGAUUUAUCAUUACAUUGUCUUAACCUUACUAAAUCGGUAAUCUUCUUCUCAUAAACUCCAGAAAAGAAGUAUUUAUGAAAUUGCUUCUCUAGAUCGGCCCAGGUAAUGACUGAAUUUGGAGAUAAUGAAAUAAACCAGGUAAAAGCCGAUCCCGACAAAGAUGAUGAAAAUAAACGAACUCUUAAUUCAUCUCUGCUGGCAGCCUCUCCACAUUAAAUGAUGAACCGAUUGACAUGCUCCAUUGUUGAGGUAUCAUCUUGUCAAUAGAACUUAGUGAAAUCUAGUACCUUGUACCGAUUUGGGAGCGGAAUUAAAUCAUACACAGGAGGAUAUGGUGUCCGAUAAGAGUAAGUAUUAAUCUUGGGUUUUAUCCCAAACUGAUCUCUCAUAACUUCUACUAUCUUAUCAGCACAAUAAGCAUCAGCAUCUUGCCGAUGUACAGGUUGAACCUCUAGCACCUGUUGAUACGCUUCCAUGUUUCUCUAGGGUACACAGUCUCCAGCAAACAUCAUAUUAGCCAUAGCCUGUGGACCACCGAUCUGCUAAGCAAGAUUCAUCGGUUGAACCGCUGGUGCCUGAUUCUAAAAACUGACCUGCAUAUGACCCUAUUGUACUCCUGCAACCUAAUGAUUCUGCUGCGCCGUGUGUGGAAUGACCAACUGCCUUGUCCAACCAUUGCUGACGUUCAUCGGCACAAGUCCUGCCGAUGUCUAGUAAUUAGUUGUCAUUGCUGAAUUGACAUAACACCGGCCAUCUCCGACCGGUAGAGCGUCGGGAAAGAGCGGCUUAAGCACCAGUGAGUUAGCGCGGAGCUUUCUAGGUAGAAACGCCUAACCCCAAUGGCUCCGGUGAGCCUCCUCACGUGCGAGGUGCUCGUCGGCACUGAGCACGGCGGUGCGGCUGCCGUGUGUUGGGUAUUCUUAACAUCAUUACCAAAAGUAGACUAAGUUCUUUAAAUCUAGUAACGGUGCCAAAAAUGCCAAACCUAUCCCUCACACCACUUAAGCCAAGUUGUCAUCCCCAGCACGACAUGAGGGACGCGGUAUUGAAAUAUGCAAUUGCUCUUCUAAAUAAAUAAUGAAUGGGAUCUGCAAGCGCACAGAUUAAUACCAAUGCAGCAUUUUAAUCGGGAAGUAUCCCAGGUAUCGUUAUUUAUAUUUUUACCACUGGGAAGGGAUUAACAAUCAUCAAUAUUGAUUACAGAAUAGAAUAUGAGAUUGAGCAUCUACAAUUGCAUGUAUAAUUAGGAACAUUAUAUCUAACUCUUCAUACGGGGACAAGUGUCACAUAGAAGAUAUAUGAAAUAAUUAAUAGUGACAAGGAUAACUAAUCUGAUCUAGCCACAUAAUAAAUAUGAUAAGCACCUCAAUUAGAUACUCUAGAAAGUCAUUAGCAUGGUAUUAGAACGAACUACAAGAAUAUUCCCUAAGUUAUUCUCAACUAUAUAGUUUAGCAUUAUCAUAGUUAGUGCAAGCAUACUGUUGACGGUCCUUAAUGCUCACAUUUAACCAUCAACUAAUCAUGGAAAAGGAUCCAAAUGCAACCAACACCUAGACUUAGGGUUUUAUCUGACAGAAUUCCACGAGUUUUGGUGUUUGUCUAUUUCUGCAGGGGGUUAUCAGGAAUUAUGGAAGAAAGGCCCACACGUCGGGUUUACAUAGAGAUAUUAACGUGCCGCGCAAUUUUCUACCAUCUAGAAGACUCCAGAAGCCACGGGAACGAACGGGAGGCCGAUCGGGCUCGGAGGCAGGGCGCCCACCCAACUCUCCUGGGCGCCCGCCCAGCUACAGUGUCCAAUUCGGACCCGUUUCGCGUAUUAUGCUCCACCGACCUAAUACUUCAAGGAAAACCACACGAUCAAUGUCGGUUUGAUCCGACGGCCCAGAUUCGCUUGAAGGGACUAUAAAACCAGACCCCCCUGGCCCCUGGAGAUCAUACCUCUUCUACAGAAUCAAAGCUAGGGUUUCAAUUCUUCAUCCAAGUAGAGAGGAUCCCUCUAGUUCUUCUAGUUCUACCUCUAGUUCAUCUAGAUCUAGUUCUAGUUCAUCUAGUUCUAGUUCUAGUUCCUCUAGUUCUAGUUCUAGUUAGUUCUAGUUGUAAUCUAGAAAAUAGGGAGAGAGAAGAGGAGAGCGGAGGAGGAGGAGCCGGAUCUGUCGGAUCUUCCUCAACAUUGUACUUUUGCAGCAACUGGUUCGUUCUUCAUCGUUCUCCAGGUUCUUCAAUUCAUAAUCCUGAGUUCUUUAAUUACUUUUCUUUACAUUCAAGUUAUUUAUUGGAUUCCCGCUUGCAUCAAGUGCUCUAAUCUUUGCAACAUUAGAGUAGUAAUUAAUAGAUUAGACGUGGUGUUUAGUCUUUCAAUUACCUGGAAUUGCACCCAAUCCUGCGGAUUGUUGUGGUAGCCCUAGGGUAGUGACAGCCCUAACGGUCGACGUAUUCCACCUCGUUCGGAUCGGUGUUUGUAGGACCGUAGUCAGACCUUCCUAGCCCCCUUCUCAUCUCUUUCUGUGGUUAGUGCUCUGAUGUCCCGAUAUAGAUAAUCUUGAAGUAAUUCUUGAUUCUUAGAUCAACUAGAGAACUCUCAGGAAACUUCCUCUCUUCCCACCAAAAAUAGUUAUAUAGUUAUCCUGGGGUGAUCUUGGAUCUUAAUUAGUACACUCACGUUCCCUGUGGAAAAUCGAUACUCUGGAAUACUCCCGGGUGAAGGCUACAUCGGUAUCCGUGUGCUUGCGGAUUUUUUCUGUUUGCGUUUAAAAUACCCAACAAGCUUUCUGGCGCCGUUGCCGGGGAACGGUAGCUGUGCUAGUUUCAAACCAAGUCGUCCGUGUAUCCUUUUUCCUUUCCUUUUUACCACACUCACCUUACCAUUUUUACCACACCACAUGGAUUUCACUCCUAUCUAUAAAUUCUUUGCUCCAAAGGGCGAGUUAUUAGAGCCACCACCAUCAUCACAUCCAAUUCUUACAGAUGGAUACGACCUCGGCCCUGAUCUAAUAGCCAUGAUUCAGGAGCAACCCUUCUCUGGGCAAGUAGAUGAAGAUCCAUACACCCACCUUAGAGAAUUCGAGCAGUUGUGCUCUUGUCGAUCUAUUUCUGGCAUGACACAAGAAACCCUUAAAUGGAAAUUAUUUUCGUUCUCCCUUUUGGGAAGAGCAAAAAAGUCGUAUGCUCAUUCUGUAGGAGGCGUUAAUGGAAAUUGGGACGAACUUCGGGACAACUUUUGUCUCGCUUUCUUCCCACUCUUUCGAAUCGCUGACCUUAGAAUCGAAAUUCUUACAUUCAAACAAAGAGAGAAGGAAACUUUAGGAGCAGCUUGGGCUAGGUUCACAAGCCUUACCAAUUCUGGUCCAAACCUUUCCAUGCCUGACCAUGUACUGUACUACCACUUCUAUCGUGGUCUAAACAAGGAAGCUGCUCUUCACCUCGACAUUGCUUCAGGAGGCUCAUUCACACACAAACUCACAGAUGAGGGGAGAGCCAUCCUAGAAAGAAUCCUUGAAAAUACCCCUUACACAGGCAUUUAUGAUGAGUUUCCUGAAGAAGAAAAAGAAGUCGAGCCGAAUCCUAAACCAAAAGAUGAGGAACUUGCAACCGAGUUACAAAUUCCACCUGACCCAUCUAUCAAUUUGGUUGUAGAGAAACCUCCUGAUAAGGGAAUGCAAAACCAACUAAAGGAUGAUGAAUCACCACCUUUAGAGCAUCCCUUUGAAUUCGAGGAAGAUCUUUUUGAAGAUUAUGGAAACACCUCGAAUUUUCCUAUCCAAACACGACCUCUAGCAGGGACCACUCAAUCAAUUCUAAGAGUAGAAUCUGUUGACAUAGAACACAUCAAAAACCUAUCAGCUAUUCUGAGUUACGAAUGGCUAACAGAAGCAGAGCUGUCUCCUGAGGUAGCUCGGAUCACUCCUUCAACCAUUCUUCUGUGCCAAAUUAGAGGGUCCCCUAGGAAGGUCCACUAUAAUCCAUAUGUUGGGAUAAAUGUUAUUUCCAAGGAGUUAGCUGACACUCUUUGUCCCAACGAGUCCAUAACCCCAUCUCAAAAACUUUUACAAAGUCCAUCUGGAUUAAUUCUAGAAAGCCAUGGGGUAUUAAGGGCAGUUCCUGUUAGAAUCAAGGACUCUGGAAUAUGUCUAGAUUUCCACAUUUUUGACAUAUCGGAGAUUCCUCUCUUGAUUGGUAGACCAAUCAUGAAACUUCUACAAGAACAACCACAACGAGGUCAUUUAGACUUCAAAGCUGGGAAUUCCACUAUUGUUGUUCCUCUAGCUAGAUCAAUUAACACGAUAGUGGAACCCAAACUUGACCCAGAUCCUAUUGAGGAGAUCUUAAUGGUGACUCAAGAGGAGAUGACCCAACCAUUCUUUAAUCAUGAACACUUUGUUCAAGAAGAAGAAGAGUUGGUAGAACCCGUUGAGCUAGAUAAAAAUGAACAACCUUCACCUCCUUCGAUAGAGUUAAAACCUCUUCCUUCUGGCCUUAGAUAUGUCUUUUUGCACAACAACCCAAAAACUCCAGUAAUUAUCAGUGACAAGAUUUCCGAUUAUGAAACACAACAACUUGUCACUGUUCUUGAAAGGCAUAGAUUAGCAUUUGGCUACUCUCUCGAAGAUCUCACGGGCAUUAGUCCCAUUCUCUGUACUCAUCGUAUCCCUAUUGAUCCCAAUUCUACACCUUCAAGGGAACCACAAUGGAGACUUAACAAUGCUAUGCGAGAGGUUGUUAAGAAAGAGGUCCUCAAACUCUAUCGUGCUGGGAUUAUUUAUCCUGUGCCACAUAGUGAGUGGGUUAGCCCUGUCCAAGUAGUGCCAAAGAAAGGAGGAAUGACGGUCGUUAGGAAUGAGAAGAAUGAACUCAUCCCUCAACGAAUUGUCACUGGGUGGCGUAUGUGUAUUGACUAUCGAAAACUCAAUAAAGCUACAAAGAAAGAUCACUUUCCGUUACCCUUCAUUGAUGAAAUGUUGGAACGGCUUGCAAACCACUCUUUCUUUUGUUUCCUUGAGGGUUAUUCUGGAUAUCACCAAAUCCCAAUCCACCCAGAUGACCAAGAAAAGACUACCUUUACAUGCCCGUAUGGAACUUAUGCAUACCGACGAAUGUCGUUCGGAUUGUGCAAUGCUCCAGCUUCUUUCCAACGGUGCAUGAUGUCUAUUUUCUCGGACAUGAUUGAGAAGGUCAUGGAGGUUUUCAUGGAUGAUUUUACCGUCUAUGGCAAAACCUUCGAUCAUUGUUUGGAGAAUUUAGAUAAAGUCUUGCAGCGAUGUGAAGAAAAACACUUAAUCCUGAACUGGGAGAAAUGCCAUUUUAUGGUUCAGGAAGGAAUAGUGCUAGGACAUAAAGUGUCCGAACGUGGUAUAGAAGUGGACAAAGCAAAGAUUGAAGUUAUUGAAAAACUUCCACCUCCCACGAAUGUGAAAGGAAUCCGUAGCUUUUUGGGACAUGCAGGGUUCUAUAGACGCUUUAUCAAGAAUUUCUCUCAAAUUGCUAGACCCCUAACUAAUCUCCUAGCUAAGGACGCACCUUUCAUCUUUAGUGAUGAGUGUCAUGAAUCUUUUCAAACUCUUAAGAAAUCACUCAUCUCAGCCCCGAUUAUCCAACCACCUGAUUGGAAUCUUCCUUUUGAGAUCAUGUGUGAUGCUAGCGAUUUUGCGGUUGGUGCCGUUUUAGGACAAACCAAGGAUAGAAAGCAUUAUGCUAUAUCCUACGCUAGCAAAACCUUGUCUGGACCACAGCUCAAUUACACUACAACUGAAAAAGAGCUUUUGGCUGUUGUCUUUGUUAUAGACAAGUUUAGAUCUUACUUAGUGGGGGCAAAGAUAAUCAUCUAUUCAGACCAUACUGCUCUCAAGUACCUCCUCACUAAGAAAGAUGCUAAGCCUCGUCUAAUUCGAUGGAUUCUUCUACUCCAAGACUUUGACAUAGAAAUCCGAGAUAGGAAGGGAGUUGAGAAUUCUGUAGCUGACCACUUAUCUAGGCUUCAAUAUAAGGAAACACAUGAUGAGCUUCCCAUAAAUGACUACCUAAGGGAUGACACCCUACUUAAGAUAACACAUGCAGAUCCAUGGUACGCAGACAUCGUAAACUUUAUAGUAAAAGGCUAUGUCCCACUUGGUGCAAACAAAAGGAAGUUGCUUCACGAUAGUCGUUUCCACCUUUGGGAUGAGCCAUAUCUUUUCCGAGUCUGCGCUGAUGGACUCUUGAGAAGGUGUGUUCCUAUGGCUGAGGCUACUCAAAUUAUGGAAAGAUGCCAUGCCUCGCCAUAUGGAGGACACUAUGGUGCAUUCCGGACACAUGCUAAAAUUUGGCAAAGUGGUUUUUUCUGGCCAACGAUGUAUGAAGAUACAAAGGACUUUGUCAGGAGAUGCCACCGAUGUCAAAAACAUGGGAAUAUCAACUCACGAAAUGAAAUGCCUCUCACAAAUAAUCUUCAAGUAGAACUUUUCGAUGUAUGGGGCAUUGAUUUCAUGGGACCAUUCCCUAUGUGUGGGAAUUGUGAGUAUAUCUUAGUAGCUGUGGACUACGUGUCUAAAUGGGUAGAAGCCCUACCUUGUCGAUCAGCUGAUUCAAAACAUGCCAAGAGAAUGUUUCAUGAAGUAAUCUUUCCUCGCUUUGGUAUACCCCGGAUAGUUAUAAGCGAUGGAGGUUCCCACUUCAUCGACAAACUCUUCCGGAAAUACCUAGCCGAUCAUGGAGUUCGACACAACGUCGCAACACCAUACCAUCCUAAGACUAGCUGUCAAGCCGAAACAUCUAACAAACAAAUCAAAAAUAUUUUACAAAAGACCGUAGAUGAGAUGGGUAAGGGGUGGAAGGAAAAACUUCCUGAUGCACUUUGGGCAUAUAGAACUGCAUUCAAAACACCCAUAGGCAUGUCACCUUAUCAACUUGUAUAUGGAAAAACUUGUCACUUGCCUGUGGAAGUAGAGUUUAAGGAUCAUUGGGCACUCAAGAAAUGGAACAUGGAUCACCACCUUGCUAGCGAGAAUCGUCUGAUGCAACUAUCUGAGCUAGAAGAAUGGAGAGAGAAAGCCUACCACAAUUCAAGGAUCUAUAAAGAGAGAACAAAACGAUGGCAUGAUAAGAGAAUCAAGCACAAGGAGUUUAAGCCUGGAGAUAAGGUUCUACUAUUCAAUUCAAGAGUUAAGUUCUUUGGGCAUGGUAAGCUACGAAGUAAGUGGGAUGGACCAUACAAGGUUAUUGACACUUCAACACAUGGAGCCAUUACCAUCCAAGACGACAUAGGUAACACUUUUAAGGUAAAUGGUCAACGCUUGAAAAUCUAUCUUGAGCCUCAAAACAACCGGGUAGAGGAACUUGAUGUGAUUGAGUUCAUAGAAUUCUCACAUUAAGCUCUCAUAAGCUCUAGACAAUUACCUAACCCUUAACAUGUUCCACAAGUUUUGUUGUCUAUUUGGGUUGUGCAGGAUUUUGAGGCUUAAGAAGAGUGAGACCGAACAUGCAGGCCAUAAGAGUGAUCGACUAUGUCAACAUCCAGCUUGGGGGAGGCACUCCCACGUGUAUCUAGAUAAGUAUUACUUUUCUUUCUUGGUUUUAUUUACUAGUAUUUGGAAAUAAAUUUAAAAAAAUGCAUAACCAUGAAACCAAACAAAGUUUUUCUUUUGAGUAAUAUACAAUAGUUUUGUGUAAUACUAAGUUUUAAAUAAAAUAAAAAGAAAGUUUGAUUCAAGUCAAGGUAAUUGACAAACAUGAUAUGAGAAGGUCUGAGCUACUAUUUAACUUGUUCCAAGUUUUGCUAGAGUUCUGGAGAUUUUAUCUUUUGAAAAUCUAAAAAUUCAUAAAAAAAAUAUAUGAGAUCAUAAUACCUAGAGUCUUAUAAGAUAUAAAUAUUAAAAUUGUGGGCACUUGCUUUGUUCAAGCCAUUGUUAAUUCUUGUAGUUUUGGUUGAGAGAAUUAUCAUGCUCCCAAGAUCAAGAUCUUUUUGUUUUAAAAUAUAAAAGAUUCACUCUUCCGAAGUAUUAUUGCGUUAGAGGCAUGGGACUAUGCAAAAAUUUGAUUCGAAAAAAAAAAGAGUGAGACGAGAGGUAAAAAUGGACAAGUGUCCGAAGUAGAAUUAGGGGUACAAAGAUACCCACCUGAGUGGAAAAAAAUGGACAUGUGUUCGACAGUAGAAUUAGGGGUACUUGCUGCCCACUUGAAAAAAAAGAAGACUGAAAAAAAGAGAAAAAGGAAAAAAAAGGAGAAAAAAAAAUGAUAGCCCAUGGUCCCUCUAAUAAGCAAUAUGCCAGUAAGAGAUGACAAACUUUUCAAAAAGGUCAAAGGUCUUGAUCUAAGAGUAUGACAUUCCUCUCCCUUGCUCCGAGCAUUGACAUAGCAAAAUGCAAAUUAUGUAUGCUAAAACUUUUAAAGCUCUACUUAUAUAUAUCUUUCGAGAAGAAGGCAAUGCCUCAGUUUCAUUUUGCAGACUUAUAAAAAAACUCCAGAACAAAGGUAAGACAGAAGAACUUGAGACAUAGUGCUUGACUUGAUCAUUCUGUUUUUCAAUCACUUAAGACCUUAGUGAUAACUUAAAAACCCUAUAGUAAGAGGCAUAAAAGUAACCCCUGUUUUCUUGUUGAUUUUAGCUUUGCUCAGGGACGAGCAAAGGUUAAGCUUGGGGGAGCUUGUUGACGGUCCUUAAUGCUCACAUUUAACCAUCAACUAAUCAUGGAAAAGGAUCCAAAUGCAACCAACACCUAGACUUAGGGUUUUAUCUGACAGAAUUCCACGAGUUUUGGUGUUUGUCUAUUUCUGCAGGGGGUUAUCAGGAAUUAUGGAAGAAAGGCCCACACGUCGGGUUUACAUAGAGAUAUUAACGUGCCGCGCAAUUUUCUACCAUCUAGAAGACUCCAGAAGCCACGGGAACGAACGGGAGGCCGAUCGGGCUCGGAGGCAGGGUGCCCGCCCAACUCUCCUGGGCGCCCGCCCACCUACAGUGUCCAAUUCGGACCCGUUUCGCGUAUUAUGCUCCACCGACCUAAUACUUCAAGGAAAACCACACGAUCAAUGUCUGUUUGAUCCGACGGCCCAGAUUCACUUGAAGGGACUAUAAAACCAGACCCCCCUGGCCCCUGGAGAUCAUACCACUUCUACAGAAUCAAAGCUAGGGUUUCAAUUCUUCAUCCAAGCAGAGAGGAUCCCUCUAGUUCUUCUAGUUCUACCUCUAGUUCAUCUAGAUCUAGUUCUAGUUCAUCUAGUUCUAGUUCUAGUUCCUCUAGUUCUAGUUCUAGUUAGUUCUAGUUGUAAUCUAGAAAAUAGGGAGAGAGAAGAGGAGAGCGGAGGAGGAGGAGCCGGAUCUGUCGGAUCUUCUUCAACAUUGUACUUUUGCAGCAACUGGUUCGUUCUUCAUCGUUCUCCAGGUUCUUCAAUUCAUAAUCCUGAGUUCUUUAAUUACUUUUCUUAACAUUCAAGUUAUUUAUUGGAUUCCCGCUUGCAUCAAGUGCUCUAAUCUUUGCAACAUUAGGGUAGUAAUUAAUAGAUUAGACGUGGUGUUUAGUCUUGCAAUUACCUGGAAUUGCACCCAAUCCUGCGGAUUGUUGUGGUAGCCCUAGGGUAGUGACAGCCCUAACGGUCGACGUAUUCCACCUCGUUCGGAUCGGUGUUUGUAGGACCGUAGUCAGACCUUCCUAGCCCCCUUCUCAUCUCUUUCUGUGGUUAGUGCUCUGAUGUCCCGAAAUAGAUAAUCUUGAAGUAAUUCUUGAUUCUUAGAUCAACUAGAGAACUCUCAGGAAACUUCCUCUCUUUCCACCAAAAAUAGUUAUAUAGUUAUCCUGGGGUGAUCUUGGAUCUUAAUUAGUACACUCACGUUCCCUGUGGAAAAUCAAUACUCUGGAAUACUCCCGGGUGUAGGCUACAUCGGUAUCCGUGCGCUUGCGGAUUUUUUCUGUUUGCGUUUAAAAUACCCAACACAUACUUAGCAAUCAUUGUGAGACAAGACUACGCCCAUGCAUAGUGAUAUUAGCAAGGUAAAUGAGAAACAUAGCAAUCACU
rnacentral:lncRNA from 1 species